rnacentral:lncRNA from 1 species
GUGGCUGUAGUUAUUUGUUCGCGCCACAAUAUACAUAGCAUUCUGUUCUUAUUAGUUCAAUAUUUGAUAUAAGAUUCUCAAGAUAGGAGUAAUCAUACACUAGGACAAACAAGUAUAGAGUCAUUUUCUUCUCAAUUCAUCAGACUCGGAAGAAUGGUAAAUUAUAACUAAGAACUUGAACUAAGAAGAACGGGAGAAUAUGUUGGAAAUCAUCACAAGCACAAUAUAUUUAUUUCAUACAGCAUAAAUGAAUAAAGAUGAUUUCAAUGAAAGAUCGUGUUUGGCAGAGGGUACAGAUGGAAUGAGAAUGAAUUGACAAAACAUUCCUACAAAAUGAAUUACUAACCAGAUUCAAUCACUAAACAGUGAAGAGUUGGCCUAAGGGUGAUCCUGGCAGCUAUUUUUCAAUACAAGGAAUCAUCAUGCUAGUGUAUUCUUCUGACCGUAGUAAGUGAUAAGAGUAAUUUCUGACAUUUAUACUGAAGUCUGGACCAGUAGCUUAGUUAAUCAAAAAAUUGUAACUGACAAUGUGGUAUAAGUGGGCAUCAGAUAUCAAAUUAUGAUGCCAAAUGCUAAACAGACCAAAAUUCUAUCUACGAAACUCUAUGAACUGAUAGCUGUCAAACUUCAGAGCAAAUGACCUAUUGGAAAUCUGAAACAUCCCAUCAGUGAUAACCCAAAGCAGCAUGGACCUGAAGCACAUAACUAAAAAUAGUUGGCACUCCACCAAAAAAACAUAGUUGAGCAGAAUACACAAAACAAUAUCGAUCAGCACAAAAGGAAUAAUGCUCAUGUCGUCAAUUGCAAAUUGUGGUAUAAGCAACAAAUACCAAAUUAUGAUACCAAAUGCUAGGCAGAUCAAAAAAUUAUAAUGGCAACUUUAGAACAAAGGAGCUAUUGAAAGUUUGGAACAUCCGAUCGGUGAUAACUGAAAGCAUCGCCGAUACUAACACAGAAGUAGAAAUAGUUGUAGUCCACUAAAAAUGCAUAAUUGGACAUAAUAUUUCGCAGAACAGUUUAGAUCGGCACAAAAGGCUCUAUGCUCAUGGCACCUAGUUGAAGCCACAAUCUUUUCCCUGCUCUGAAGUUAAUCCUCAACACCACCAAUGUCUACUUCUUCCAGCAGAGAAUCAGCAACUUCAAAUAGAGUGUCAUAAUACGCACUACAAUUUUGGAACAUCGGGUUCCGUUGGUAAGCAUCACAUUCACACAUAUCAAAACUGUAGCAGACCACCACAGAACAUGUUGAGAUUCCCCUGCUCUGAAGCUUAAGCUAAUACGCGACAUAAGCAAUUAACACUAGGAGAGUAAGAACAAAAUGCUGCAGAAACUAAACCAAACAUACUAGGGACCGAGUUUCGUAUGCAAGUUUGCAGGGCUCGCCACGGCAUCACCUCGAUCGAUCGCUAGUAGUUUCCGGUGAACAGCUCCAAUCCGAUCUGCGAGGAGACGUAGGCAUCGGUGCAGGCGUAGUGGAUCUGCUCGUCGGAGAGGCAGCAGGCGUCCCACGGGCCCAUCGUAAUCCGCCGUGGCUUCUCGAUGGUAACCCCCAAGACUUGGCGCGCCAGGUCUUUCAGCCCGGCCUGGCGGAGCUCCGGGAUGCCCAUCUCCUGGGCCGCGACGCCGCGCAGGUCCUCCAGAUUGCGUACCUGCAGAUCGUAGUCCUGGGCCAGGCGAUUGGCGUCCGCGGCCACGCCGACGCCGACGAACCAGAACUGGUUGUCCAUGAGGAAGACCGACAGGGCGUCAGGGAUGUAGUCGGCGUGGAGGAGCUGGAAGAUGAGGCAGCGCUGGUCAAUGCAGAGCUGCAGGAGCGCGGCGGGGUUCUGCACGCGGCUGUAGCUGGGACGCCACUCGACGUCGAGCCCGACGAGGAUUUGGUUGGGGCAGCCGGCGUACAUGGAGUACACCUCCUCGACCCAGUCCUCCACGGCCGCGCCGGAGGACGUCACGGUGGUGGUGAUCACCUCCUCCCCGAAGGCAACGUCGGUGACAUACGUGUCCCCAUACUGGAUCGCCUCGUCCGGCUGCUGCUACUUCCAAUCUCCGGUGCGCAAACGACAAGGGUAAAGUGUUCUCCUUUUUUUCGACAAGGGUAAACUGGGUUCACGAUAGGGAAGGGAGUACACCGUGAGGAUAGGGCGUCGGGUGGGCAUCUCUGGUAUAGCUGGCCUACUAUACGGCAAAAAAAAAAUGAUUGAAGUAAAAAUUUGAGAAAUCAAAAAGGUUUUUUCUUUGACACAUUACAGACGUAUACACUCAUACGCAUGCAUAUAUACUCACUCUUAUGAACGCAUGCACAUAUACCUACCCCUAUGAGCACGUGUUGUAAGGUGAAACCCUAGAGGGGAUAUUUUCACGCUUGAAGGGGAAAAAGAGAAAGAACACUCAAGAACACAAAGAGGAAGUCACUCAAAUAAACCCAAAUAACACAUCCACUAGGGUAGCAUACCCGAGAUCCACAAGCAUACAAGAACAAUUCAAGAAAAAUAGCACUAGGGUAAAAGUUCUUCCCACUAGGUGAGGUCUUGAUAUCCACAAGAGGAUCUUCUCCAAGAGGAGGGCUUGAUCUCCAAGAGGAGGAAGAUGAGCAAAGCUCUCUCUUUGUCUAUGUAAUACUUUGCUAUCCUCUAAAUGAGCUAGAUGAGGAGUACCUAUAGGUUAGGGACGAAAUACGAGGAAAACGGGGGCACAAGGGUCAAUUUGCCCAAAAUGCGCGCAGUCGAAGGAGUCCGGGCACCCGGGGUAAAGUGGCCCGGGCACCCGGAGGAAGAGGCGCCAAGGAGGGCCGGGCACCCGGUGGUGGAGGGUCCGGGCACCCGGACCGGUUAGGGGGGGGGGCGCGCCCUCGGGCCAGGGGAGGCGGGGCACCCGGGGGGCGAAAGCCCGGGCACCCGGACCGGUUAGGGGCCUCGCCCAGGGCGCGACUGUAGGGGGUCGAGCAACGGGGGAGGAUGGUGCGGGCACCCAGGGGUGGAAGGUGUGGGUACCCGGGGUGUCCAGCGAGCCUGCGGUGCUUCGUGUCUUGGAGCUCUUCCUUCUCCUCCUUCUUGAGGGCUCCAUGUGUACUUGGAGAUCCCUUCUUCAUGAUCUGCUCCUCGAUACCUAGUCAUGCACAAAGUCUCCGCUUGAGGUAGAAGUUGUUUCUCAUAUGAAAUCAAAGGGAGCUCGAAGAGGAAAGAGGUUACCUUGGUUUCAAUGGUACGUGUGCGAGCUCUCGUCAUUGGUCCUCUUCGUGCUUGUGGUGGUGAUGGAACGUCCAUGGGGAUGAACGAGGGAUGCUCCGCAUCAUCUCCCCCCCUUGGGAGAGAUCCGUCCACGGAUCGUAAUCUUCAUCACCAUGGGAAAAGAGAGGGCGUCGCCGUGUAGAAGUGGACGACCACCAAGCACUUAUCAUGUUGAAGCUCGAAAUGGGCACUCUCCAAUGUCACACCGUCUUAUGAUUCCUUCAAAAGGAGCAAGUACAACAAACACUUGAAAAAACAAAUGUGGUUAGCGUUAGUGCAAAACCAAGCAUUCAAGAGGUGAUUCACCAAACAAGUGUCGUCAUCAAGCAUAACAUAUGGUGUGACAAGGGAUUGUGACAUGUCAUGUAAGCACAUAAAUUGAGCAAAAUCAAGGACAUCAUGGAAACAAGCAUGUAAAUGUGAGGUAGCAAUGCAAAUGUGUGAGACAAGAGAAUAAGCAUCUACCUCAAGCUUAUAGCAAGCAUGCAUAAGGCGCUCAACAAAUGGUCUAUGGUAUGCAUAUGAAGCGCGCAUUCACAACAACGAAUAAAUGAGGUGUCUAAACACAUGGGUCAAGUGCAAGACAAUCCAAACGAAACAUGCAUGGGGUGUAGUGAAUAUAGUGUGGCACUCAACACAAUAGAAAGAGCAAUUGUUCAUCAUGUGUGAAGCAAUCAAGUCGUGCAAGCUAGUAGUUCGAAGAUGUAACAUACUAUAGGUAAUCAUGGCAAUCAUGUCAUGUGUGCAAGUAGUGGGCAUAUUGCAAGCACGAACACAAAGCAAGAUCAAGGUAUCAUCAUAGGCAUUGGGCACAAAGCAAACAUGGCAAUAACAAGCAAUAUCUCCACCAAGCUUGCAAAUACACAUACAAGUACUAGAAUCAAUCGUCAUGUGUAAUGCAAAGCAUGGAUCACAAAUGCAUGGCAAAGGCAUAGGAAUGAGCAUAGCAUGCAAAGUGAACAUGACAAUAUGGGCAAAUGAUACAUAAUGUACAAGAAUCCAUAACCAUGUGAGGGCCAUGUAGAAAAUAUGUGCGAAGUCCUUGCGCGAAUGGAAUGGUGGGAAGUGUAAUCCAUGUGAUCCCAAAUCAUCAUUGCUCACUAGAGCUCGUUUUGUCAAAUCAUGGGAUUGUCAAGUUGACAAGUAUUCAUGAGUACCUACAUAAAACAAAGACAAAGGAAAAAUUGUGUGCGCGUGGUAUAUGUACACAUCAUCCAUUAUGACGCGCACGUGCAUGUGUUGGUUAGCAUAAAAUAUCCAAUGCUUAAAUAAAUGAGUUGCAUGAUAUAGAAACAUGUCAUCCAUCAUGAAAUGAUAAUUAUUGUGUUCAACAUGAUUGAGACGCAAAUUAUAGCAAGUGUGUGGCACAACGAUAGAAUUUUUAUUCAUGGGAUGCAUAUGGUGCACACAAUCAUGGGGAUCAUGCAAUUCAUAGGAUGUAGCAAAAUAUUCUAAUGGGUAAGAGGAAACUAUGGGGUCUCCUCAUGAGAAAUAACGGAAGCAUAAUAUGGAGAAAAGUGACAACAUGGCAAACAAUGCAUGUCCGAAGCUAGGUGGUCAUGGCAGGACAUAUGAGAUAAAUGAUGAAAGGGAAGCAUGGUUUAGAUUAUGAAUAUCUAGUUAGUACAUCAAAUGUACUAUUAUUUGAAAUCAACAUCAAGUGUAUUCAAAAAAUUGAAUUCGAGUUCAUACGGUACACAUAGUUCAUAUCUAUCUCUAUAGAAUCAUGUGGUGUGUUGUUAAGGUAAUACACGAAUGAUGGUUGAAGUUGGCAACAAUCAUGAUUGUAGAUUCUUAUUCAAAUAGAGAAACAAAUUCAAAUUUAGUUCAAAUUGCAGCGGUAGUAUAGACAUUUGGAAUGCACUAAAAUGUUGGUAUGAGUAGUUUACAUACAUUAUACAGCCAGCGAAAAAAUUUAAUUGGACAUAACAUGGAUUCAUAGCUUCGAAUAGCAUUUGUAUAGUAAAACGGGAUAAGACUCUCUCUUUGUGUGGUGUGAAUAGUUUUAUUUUUUUUGUUUUUUUCGUUGAGGGAAGUGCGAAUUGAUUUGGUACGUACAAGUACAAUAUUACACGUUAGGCUUGUCCCUAAAAUUCAACCCACGCCUUGUUAUAUCCCGAAAAUUCAGAUAUCGUGCUCUCAAAACUCGCACCUUCACAACCCGCGCCUUGCUAUCCCGUAAUUACAACGCGCGUGAAAACUCCCUCCAGCUGCCCAAUCCCGACAUGCGAAAUCCCCCUUCUAACCCUGAGCCGAAAGGGCUGCUAGUUCAAAUCGGUGGGGGUACUUCUGUAACACACCCUACAUUUUGGACAAGCGCGUCCCUAAGUCAUGGUUCCCCCUCCCAUCGCCUCCUUUUCGCCAUUCGAAUUCCCAGGCCGCCAUAACCUCUCUGCUCCAGCCGCGAAAUCCCACCCUCAUCCGUCUGCCACCUCACCGCUGCCCAGCUGGAGCCGCUUCCCUGACGACGUCGUCCACCGCAACAGCUCGACAUCCCUCAUCCACCUCCCCGGAUGAGGAUCCGUCGUCCAUCUCGUCGUCCUGCCGGUUCAGCCGCCCCGUCCUCCACCUCUAAGGAGCUCCUCCGACGAUCGCCUCGUCUAUCGCGACUGCUCCAUCCCCACAAUGUCGCCUUAACCUGCUCCACCGGAACAUCAGCAUCCUCGCCGACUCCUCGGACGAAGCCGAGGCCUACUCGGCGCCACCAAAGAGGUUGUACACUUAUUGCAUCGCACCUUCUCCUUAACUCGACCUCCAGGCACAGAUGGUACUCCAUCCCGCACCCCCAUGGCAUGGCUACCUCGAAGCCGGCGCCGCAGGCGACAUCUCCAUGGUGGCUCUCCCCCAGUGUGAGGCCCCUUUGGCGGCGGCGGCCAUACUAGCCGGAUCUGCUGCUGCUCCGGCUCUCGCUCACUCGCGCUGCUGCUGCUCUGGCUCUUGCUCACUCGCGCUGCUGCUGCUCUCCUCCUCUCUUGUGCUGCUGCUCUGCUCUGAUUUAGCUACACUUCAGUCGACUGAAUCGACUUUUGGGUCAGUCGAUUUUCAGGGGGGGCUCGCCGGAGUUAAGGAAGAACCACCCGCAGUGGGGAGGGGGGCUCGCCGGAGAGGUACCCCAAUAUCUAUNNNNNNNNNNNNNNNNNNNNNNNNNNNNNNNNNNNNNNNNNNNNNNNNNNNNNNNNNNNNNNNNNNNNNNNNNNNNNNNNNNNNNNNNNNNNNNNNNNNNNNNNNNNNNNNNNNNNNNNNNNNNNNNNNNNNNNNNNNNNNNNNNNNNNNNNNNNNNNNNNNNNNNNNNNNNNNNNNNNNNNNNNNNNNNNNNNNNNNNNNNNNNNNNNNNNNNNNNNNNNNNNNNNNNNNNNNNNNNNNNNNNNNNNNNNNNNNNNNNNNNNNNNNNNNNNNNNNNNNNNNNNNNNNNNNNNNNNNNNNNNNNNNNNNNNNNNNNNNNNNNNNNNNNNNNNNNNNNNNNNNNNNNNNNNNNNNNNNNNNNNNNNNNNNNNNNNGGGGGGGGGCUAGAGGGUUGGCCGGGGCGGUGGGGAGUGGUUUCGGGGCGGCGAGGCGGCACGGGAGCACCGCCGGCCGCGGGCGGCGGGUGCCGGUGGUGGCUGGUGGCUCAGGGGGGUGAAGGUUUGUAACGCCCCAAGACCCACGCUCCAGAAGACUUCCAUAUAUUUCAUGAUCACCGUGUGUUUCUUUUGUGCUUGCUCUUUUAUUUUUGCAUUGCAUCAUGCCAUCAUGUCAUUAAUCUUUGCAUCUCAACUCAACUAAUAAAUUGCAUAGAUGGUUGAUCUAUUUAAAUCGAGAGAAGGGUGACUUCUCUUUAUAACAUAUCCUCCCAAUUUUAGGGAGCUAUAAUAAAACAAUCCAUAAAUUUGGAAUUAACCAUAACACACUUGCAUUUUAAUUCUCAUGCCUUUUGCUUCAAGGUUGUUCUCCAAACUUUCUCUAUAAUUCUUUCUCCUUUCAUCGAGGCUCCUCCUAAAUUCUCAACAUUUUUGAGCACUCCUAAACCUUGUCCUAGUUCAAACCAUUUGAAUUAAAUUCAAAUGAGUUUGAAAUUAACUCUUCCAUAUCGCGUGAAACUUCUUUUCUUGGGCUAAGUAUAAUUCUUAGACUCUGUAGGAGAAGUUUCAGCAUUUUUCCAAAACCCCUAGCUAUUUCUUUCCUUCCCUUUUCCUUCUAUCUAUUCUAUUUUUCUGUAGGUGGGAAAUAGCGAGAAGGUUGGCCUUUUGCACCGAAGCUGCAACCAGCCCAUCUAACCUCCUACGCCCAGCCUCCAAGGCCCAUCCGUAGCCCAGCCGGUGCCCUGUUAACCCUAGCCCAGACCCCCUCCUCUCGAUCUCUCCCUCUCGUCCUCCCACAUCGCCGCCACACACACGCAUCACACAGGAGAGGAGCGCACGCGCCCGAUCCCCAUGGUGCCCCUGUUCCCUGCGCCCGUGGCCCUCGACGCUCGCCGGCGCUGCAGCUCCUUCUCCAGUUCGUCGUCGUCCUCGCCUCGCCUCUGCUCUGACCCUGCCGCGGCCACCUCUCCUCGCCCUUCCAUCUUCGCCGCUGCUCCAGCUCGCCUCUGCUCCGCGCCGCUCCUCCUCUACCAUGGCCUUCCUCCUUCAGCGUCGCGCCUGCACCCAUCGUCGCCGCCCCAAGCUGCUCCCUCACCACCCCUCGCCGUCCCGACCAGCAGCAGGAAACCAGGAGCUCAAGCCCUGCCAUGGCCGCCGCCCGUUCGUCGCCUCCGCCGCCAGAUCCGCGCCGCCGGCCCCUCGUCGAAGUCGCGCCAAGUUCCCCUGCAUCGCGCGAGUCGCCGAGCCCCUACCUCCUCGCCCGCUCCGUGUUGACCAGCUCACCAGGUCCCUUGCACCAGCGCCGCGACUUCCUCCUCUGCUCGCGAGCCCUGCUUCGCUGUUGCGCCUCCCUGGCCUCGCUGCCUCCGCCGCAUGCCAGCAUCACAUCCACCUCGCCGUCGACCUCCUGUUGCCGUGGACCCAAGGUCACCGCACUGUACAACUACGUUGAGAGGACCCGGAUCGCCAAGUUCUUUUCGGAAACCUCUCCAAGACCAGGAUACGCCAAGACCCGUUCGUGGAUUUCGUCAAGUUCAAGCACCGUUGAACGAGGGCUUUUGCCUUGCUCAUUUUGGACGAGCCAAGUUCCUCUCCAAACGUGUACGACUACCAACAAGUACCUCUACCGUCGCUGUGUACAACUACUUCCACUACCGUUGCAAGAACGUCUACUUCCUUCUACACCGCAUCGAACUCGUUCCGCCCCGAAAACGCACGCUUCAAAGGUAUAAUGACGAGACGACCACCGUGGACCGAAUGCAUGUGUUGUAUGAGAUGCACUGUUUGCACCGUGUCCGAUUUGUCACUCGUUUCCAUGCCACUGACCCGUGGGAACCCGGUAGUCGGGAGCACCCCACCAUCUUUAGCAUGUUCCGCACAUCCGCACACUUCCUUUUGAACCGGUAUCUCCAUGAGCUACCAGAAUAUAUAUGUUGUCGUGGCAUCAUUUUCGGAUUCGUCACCGUGACACCCUUUCUUUCCGCCACGGUGACAAAUGCCUCGUGUCUUGCUCAUUUCAACAUUUUCAUAAAAUUGAUUAAAACUUGCAUAUGUCAUCCGCAUCAUGAUAACAAUAUUUAAAAUGUUUAUAUUUGUUGUUUCCAUUAAAUUGCUAAAUUUGCAUAUGGGGAUUUUCCGGAAUUGUUGUUUGUUAUUUCCGGUCUCAUUUAAACUUGCCUAAAUAGUCAGUUUAAUUAUGCUUCACCUCUUGCCAUGUUAACCAACAUUUAAUCUUGUCUUGUUCAUAAACGAGAGCAAACUAAAUAACUUGAAUGUGGUGUUUCGUCAAUAUGCAAGUCGUUGCAUAUUGAGCUCCACUUAAUUUGUAGUAUUGUUUGUGCACUUUGCCAUGCCAUGCCUCUUUAAACCGGACAUGCAUCAUACUUGUUUGUGCAUCAUGUCAUGAUUAUGCUUGUGUGUUUUACCAUGUUGUCUGCUUCUUUCCGGUUUGCUUCUCUCGUUAGCUUCGGUUUCGUUCCGGAGUUGUGAGGAUUCGUUCGACUACGUCCGUUUGUCUUCUUCAUGCACUCGUUCUUCUUCCUUGCGGGAUCUCAGGCAAGAUACCAUACCCUCGAAAUCAUUUCUAUCUUUGCUUUGCUGGUUGUUCGCUCUAUCGCUAUGCUUGCGCUACCUACCACUUGUUUAUCAUGCCUCCCAUAUUGCCAUGUCAAGCCUCUAACCAUCUUUUCCUAGCAAACCGUUGUUUGGCUAAGUUACCGCUUUUGCUCAGCCCUUCUUAUAGCGUUGCUAGUUGCAGGUGAAGAUGAAGUUGGUUCCAUGUUGAAACAUGGAUAUUUUGGGAUAUCACAAUAUCUCUUAUUUAAUUUAAUGCAUCUAUAUACUUGGUAAAGGGUGGAAGGCUCGGCCUUAUGCCUGGUGUUUUGUUCCACUCUUGCCGCCCUAGUUUCCGUCAUACCGGUGUUAUGUUCCUUGAUUUUGUGUUCCUUACGCGGUUGGGUGAUUUAUGGGACCCCCUUGAUAGUUCGCUUUGGUUGAAACUCCUCCAGCAAGGCCCAACCUUGGUUUUACCAUUUGCCACCUAAGCCUUUUUCCCUUGGGUUUUCGUGAGCCCGAGGGUCAUCUUUAUUUAACCCCCCCGGGUCAGUGCUCCUUCGAGUGUUGGUCCGAACCGAGCAACCUGUGGGGCCACCUCGGGGCAACUUGAGGGCUGGUUUUACUCGUAGCUUAACUUAUCCGGUGUGCCCUGAGAACGAGAUAUGUGCAGCUCCUAUCGGGAUUUGUCGACACAUCGGGCGGCUUUGCUGGUCUUGUUUUACCAUUGUCGAAAUGUCUUGUAAACCGGGAUUCCGAGACUGAUCGGGUCUUCCCGGGAGAAGGAAUAUCCUUCGUUGACCGUGAGAGCUUGUGAUGGGCUAAGUUGGGACACCCCUGCAUGGGUAUUAUCUUUCGAAAGCCGCGCCUGCGGUUAUGAGACAGAUGGGAAUUUGUUAAUGUCCGGUUGUAGAGAACUUGACACUUGACUUAAUUAAAAUGCAUCAAUCGCGUGUGUAGCCGUGAUGGUCUCUUUCCGGCGGAGUCCGGGAAGUGAACACGGUUCUUGUGUUGUGGUUGCACGUAAGUAGUUUCAGGAUCACUUCUUGAUCACUUCUAGCUUCUCGACCGAUGCGUUGCGUCUCUUCUCGCUCUCCUUUGCGUAUGUUAGCCACCAUAUAUGCUUAGUGCUUGCUGCAGCUCCACCAUAUUUCCCCUUUCCUACCUACAAGCUUAAAUAGUCUUGAUCUCGCGGGUGUGAGAUUGCUGAGUCCUCGUGACUCACAGAUUCUACCAAAACAGUUGCAGGUGCCGACGAUACCAGUGCUGGUGACGCAACCGAGCUCAAGUGGGAGUUCGACGAGGAACUUGGUCGUUACUAUGUUUCCUUUCCGGAUGAUCAGUAGCGGAGCCCAGUUGGGACGAUCGGGGAUCUAGCAUUUGGGAUUAUCUUCUUUUCAUUUGGAUUUGACCGUAGUCGGUCUAUGUGUGAAUUUUGGAUGAUGUAUGAAUUUAUCUAUGUUUUGGUUGAAGUGGCGAUUGUAAGCCAACUCUCUUUAUCCCAUUCUUGUUCAUUACAUGGGAUUGUGUGAAGAUGACCCUUCUUGCGACAAUACCUACAAUGCGGUUAUGCCUCUAAGUCGUGCCUCGACACGUGGGAGAUAUAGCCGCAUCGUGGGCGUUACAAGUUGGUAAUCAGAGCCAUCCCCGACUUAGGAGCCCCCUGCUUGAUCGAAUCGCUGGCGUUGUUGAGUCUAGAACAAAAAUGUUUUGAGUCUUAGGAUUAUAUAUAUCGGAGAGUAGGAUUCUUUUUACUCCUCAGUCCCUUCGUCGCUCUGGUGAGGUCUCCUGACGUAGAAGUUUUGACUUUCCUCUCCUCAAAUUUCACUAAAAAAAAUUUAGGAUCACGCGGGUAUCUUGGAAUCGUUCCGAUGGUUUUGUGACGAGAACAUUGUUCUUGGUGCCUCCUGACAAUUAGGGGUUGUGGAAGUGUCCCGGGGAGUUGAGCUCCGAGGUGUUGUCGUCACAAUUUUAUCAUUGCAGUUCUGGAAUACCUGAGUUUCGCCGACAUCAAAAAUCUCUUUUAUGCAGUUGUUGGUGAGAUCACCUCGACGCCACCUAGUACUGGGGCGGGAGUUCGGGAGUAUUGCCAUAACUCGUAUAACGGAUGCUUUUCGAAGGUUGAGGUACACGAUUUCCGAAGGUUUCUUGGUUAUGUGUUGACGGAUGGAUACAGCUGGAUCUAGGGAUUGUUAGUUUGGGUGAGAUAUUUUGUGUCCCCUGUAUCCCCAACACCUGAUUGCAUAACCAGAAAGUUUCGGGAGUUUAUAGGUGGGAAUUCAAGUAGCUCUUAGAAUAUCUUUCCGACAGAUGCAGGAUAUGGGAUUGGGUAAAUCUCUAUCAUAUGUAUUUGUUCCGGCUUAUUCUGCAAGCCGAAUCCUUUGUUUUGUUUUAUUUGUGGUAUUCGAGUUGCUUCGAAGUCAAAUGUUGAAUCCAUACCUUUCCUAAAUGGUGUUCUCAUAUUGCUAUGUGAAUACUAAUCCUUCUUGAUCAUCGAGGUCGUCAUGUUAAUUCUUUUCCAACCGGCGUGCUUCUCUUCAAGUGGAUCCGAUCAUUUCAACAUUCGUGAGAUCAAUUCUAAGUUUUCUCAACGGUGUUUGUUUCAUCCGUCCCAAGUUGCCUUUGUUUUUCCCGCCCUCCCACCCUUUUUUCUUCAAACACUCAGAUUUCUUAAUCAAGUAUCCAUCUUAUGGACGUGAAGUCUCUUCAUUCUUUAGCUCCAUGUUCUUAAUCGGUGAUUUCUCAUGAAGAUGCUCACGAAGCUUCAAGUUCAUCAUUCUUCAUUCUUGUAUUCUUUUCCGGUGGAUUUAACUCAAGCUUUCGUUGUUGAUCAUAUCCCUUUCCUCGUUUCAAAUGUUAUCCCAUGCCGGUGCACCUCUCAAUCAUUCACCUCUCACUAUUUUCAUUGGUUCCGGAGUGUACAAGAUAUCUCAGAAGAUUCACAUUUCCAUUCCCAAUCCGUUCAAGCUAUCUCAAGGUUGUUAUCUCUUUUGAGCCAUUUAAUUCAACCGGCGCAAUCUUUCUUUUAAUCAUUCAACGGUGUAUCUUUUGAGUGGGCCCUAAACCACAGGUCUUUUCCCAGGAUCUUACCUGACUCUUCUAAUUUUUCGGAGUUAUUCUCAAAUUCUUUUCAAAGUUUGACGUAAGAAUGGGUUAUCAUCAGUCAUAUGUCUUUCUCCAAGAUCUUUCAAAUUCUUUUCAUCAUUGGUUCAACCUUUCCAAUUUUCAUUCCGGAGUGCCUCAACAAUUCAUGGUGGUGUUUCUCAUCGUCAUUCUCAACAUUUGAAGACCGAAGAAGUGUUUCUCUUAAAUCUUGCUCCAUUCUCUUCAAGAUUCAUGGUUCUAGCUUGAUGCCAUCCUCUCAUAAUUGUUUUUGAUUGUGAGAAUUCUUUUCACCCAUCCGGAGCAUUUCAGGAGUCUUUUCAGUUUGAUUCUCCGGAGCCCAUCAUCUCAGAAUUAUUCAUUCAAGCUUUCAGCUCUCGUUCUCCAAAUCAUACCGGUGCAUCAUUCAAGUAUUACCUAAACAGCUCGGGACCUCUGCGUUCACUUGUAUCUAAAUUCUCUCAAGUAUCUUCGUUCAUUUUCCAAUUCUUCCCGGUGUUUCUUUAUCUUUUCUUCGUUCAUUUUCAAUUCUUACGGUGGUUCGUUCAAGAGUUCUCUUCCUUCGUUAUCAUAUAGUUUCAUUCGUUCUUUCUAAUCCUACCGGUGGUUCGUUCAAGACCUUCCCAAGUUUGUUCUAUCUCUCUUUAAUCAUUUUUCCCAUGAGAAUAAAUAGUAUGCGAAAUCCGUUGCUUGUCAUCAAUUUAUAUUGGUGAAGGAUACGCAUAACAUAAUUAUUGUUCUUGUUUCAUCCAAGUGUUUAAUUCUUUCUACCGGAGUUCGUAAUGGUAUCAAUUUCUCAGUUAUAUGUUGUUCAUCUUUCUUCCGGAGUUCCAAGUUUUCCGCAUUAUCUCAUCGCGAAGCUCCAUCUAAAUCAUCGCAAGGCUUCACCUUGUGUUCUCAACUUCUCUUUCUUUUAUCAUCCUUUAUUACCGGAGUUCUUCAUGGAGGCUCUACAUGGUGUUUCAUCUAAUAUUUCAUUCCUUCUUCUAGUUGUCUUCAACAUCCUUGUUGGAGGAGAUCAAGCAUUCUUCAUCGUGCAUUCUGAAGUGCAAUUCUUUCUACCUUAUCGUUUGAGAUGGUGUUAUAUCAUUCUUGGCAAUUUACAUUCAUGUUUCGCGUUUCACAUGUUGUCAGGGAUGAGAUAUUUUAAAUCCAUCAAUCUCUUUGUUGGAGUUAUCUUGUGUCAUAUUUCACCUAAAGCCUUCCCUAAGGAAUGUUGCUAUUAUGGUGCUUAUCAAUGAUCCAAGGUUUCUCCUAUCCUCUUGGUGAAAGAAGUUUUUCAUCUCGUUGGUGUUAUCAAUUAUAUUAGUUGUUUCCGUAGUGGCAGAAUUUCGCCUCUAUUUUGAGAAGUUUUUCCAUAAGCCCACUACAAGCUUAUUCGUUUCGUUGUUGGUUUUCCAACAACUCCGUUCUAACCUUCUUGGAAGGGUGCUUUCCAAGAUCAUUUGUGGAAGAAAUUGGCAUUUCCUUCUCCAUUCUUUUAUUCCAAUGAUCCAUCUUCUAUUCCUUCUUCCGGAGGCAAUGUGAUGUUGCUCUCUUCGCUCAUCAUCUCGAAUUGUGAAGAUCGUGUUCUUUUCGUGCUUAUCCAUUUAACCAAAGUGUUGUGUCUAUCAUUCCUCUUUUAAUUAGAGUCUCAUCCAAGUGCUUUCAUUUUGCCAAGUUCAUAUUCUAUGCCUUCCAUUUCCAACCGGAGUGUUGUCGUAAUUGAUCUUUAUCGUUCCUCGUACAUCUCGUUUCAACCGGAGUGCUUGCAUGUACUUCUUGUCCAUUGUAACCCUUUUUCUUUGGUCUUUCAACCUAUAAGGUUCUCAUAAUGUUCCUUGUUCCUCUUUUCUAACGGUGCUUUUCAAUCUCGUUCAUCUCCAUUGUAUUCUUUCUUUCAAUUUUGCCAACCUCUCAAGGUUCGUUGGUUUCACUCUUUUGUCAAAGAAGCAACUUUGUUUUACCUCUUCCUCUUCCGCUUUUCUCUCUGGUGCCAUCCUAGAUCUCGGGACGAGAUCCUCUUGUAGUGGUGGAGUGUUGUAACGCCCCAAGACCCACGCUCCAGAAGACUUCCAUAUAUUUCGUGAUCACCGUGUGUUUCUUUUUGUGCUUGCUCUUUUUUUUGACUAUACACAGUAGGGCAAAACCCCACUGCAAUUUUUUGUUUAUAUUAAUCUAAAAAAAGUAAAGUCCCAGAAAGGAACCAAAGUACAAAAGGCUUGAGAUAAGCCAAGGAGGAAGACAAAAGAAAGAGGAAAGAAAAAAACACUAACAACUAAGAAACUAGGAUUACAGGACAAGAUUAUCCAGCCAAAAACAGUAUGCUCCAGCAUAGCUCUUUUUAAUUCUGAAUCUGAGAAGAGAGAGCUCCUCCAUGAAGAUGGCUUUCCAGCUUUGAAUGCUGGGUUGAAUUGCUUGGAAAAUCAUGUUGUUCCUGGAGAUCCAAAUAGCCCAAGAGGCAAGGAUGACUAUCUCCAUGAAGAAAGGUACAUGAAGUUUCUGCUUGAGAUCAAGAAAAGCUUCCAUGAUUGAAACAUUUGCCUGUCGUGAAGGGCAGAUCAGAUCCCAACACUGUGCAGCAAAAGGGCAAGUCCAGAAAAGGUGCUGAAGAGUCUCUUCCUGUGGACAAUUGUUGACAGCACAAUUAUAGCUGCCCAGCUGAAAAGAUUUCCUUCUCAGAAGAUUUCUAGUAUUGAGCCUAUCAUGAAGUAGUCUCCAAAAGAACACCUUAUGUUUUGGCUAACAAGAACUGCUCCAGAUCCAAUUGAACUGUUGUGGUACAACUUUAACUCCCAUCAGCACUUUAUAUGCCUUAGCCACAGAGAAUUGCUCAGUUCCCCAUAUGUAGCUCCAGGUAUCUGUGCAAUCCAAAGUAUCAGAGGCCCUUAAAGCAAUGCAUAUGUCCUCCAUAGCCUCAAAUUCCUGGAAAGCUUGCACAGUCAGUGGCAGAUGAAAUAGGUCCUCUAAGUAUUCAGUUUGGAGAAUGGUGUGAACAGUAGCAUCCUUGUUUUUCACAAACGAGAAUAGGUGGGGGAACAUGUCUUGCAAGCAAUGUGAGUGCCAAAGAUCAGUCCAAAAAUAAGCACUCUUCCCAUCACCUAUGUUGCAUCUGGCCAAGGACUUAUAGUUAUCAAUCAGCUUAAGGUUUGCCUUCCACCAAAAAGAUCCCAUCCAGCUAUUACCAGGUAGAGAAUCAUUGCUGUAGUAAGAUUCCCAAAUCAGAUUGACCCAGGGAAUAUUGUGUCUGUUGUAGAACUUAUGCAGGUUCUUGAGAAGCAAUGCUUUAUUCUGAACAAAAAUAUCAAUCACUCCUAAGCCACCUUGAUUUUUAGGUCUACACACAGUACUCCAUGCCACCAUGGCAGGUCUAUGGUCCUCCAAAUCAGGGCCUCUCCAAAGACAAUGUCUCAAGUAUUUUAUGGCUUGGGUUUUGAUGGUAACAGGCACAUCAAGGCAUCCCAUGAGAUAUAUCAAUAAUGAGUUGAGGACAGAUUUCACUAGCAACAAUCUCCCAGCCAAAGUCAUAAAGGUGGACAAUCCCACAAUCUUCUUCUGCAGUCUUGUGACAAGAGGAAAACAUUGCUCAACAAUAGGCUUAUGAAGGCCUAGGGGUACUCCCAAAUACUUGAUUGGAAAAGAUUCCUUCUUGCAAUGAAAAGUAUUUAUUAAAAUCUCCAUCUUCUCUUCUGGCACAUUUAUUGGAAUCAUACUUUAUUUAUUGUAAUGAACUUUAAGGCCUGUGGCAUCAGCAAAAGUAUUGAGAAGGGCUUUGAGGCAAUGUAAUUGCUUUGCAUCUGCUUGCAGAAUAACCAAGGUGUCAUCAGCAUACUGGACAAUUGGAAAAUCAGGGCAUGACUCUACUUGCAAGGGAGAAGUUACCAAACCCAGGUGCAUUGCCUUGUUGAGAAUUGUCUGAAGUAGAUCAGCAGCCAGCACAAAGAGAAGAGGGGACAGAGGAUCCCCCUGCGUUACACCUCUAAGGCAAUAAUUUUUUUUCCAGGAACACCAUUUAGUAAUAUAGCAGAGGAUGCAGAAGUAAACAAUAAUUUGAUCCAUGUAAGCCAUCUGUCCCCAAAGCCCUUUGCUUUUAAAAUAUCCAACAUAGCCUGAUGUUCAAUGGUAUCAAAAGCCUUUUCAAAAUCCAAUUUCAGAACAAUGAUUUCCUCCUUUGACUUAUGACAUUGGUGUAAAUAUUCAUAAGCCCACCCCAAACAGUCAUGAAUAGAUCUUUCUUUAAGGAAACCAUAUUGGUUGAUGUGGACCAAUUUCAGAAUCACCUUUUGCAAUCUAUUUUCCAGCAGCUUAGUAACAAUUUUCAGACAGCUGUUCAGUAAAGAGAUAGGCCUAAAAUCAUUUGCUGUCAAUGGAGAACUCCCCUUUGGAAUGAGAGUUAUGAAUGAAGUGUUCAAGCUCUCAAGGGAGAUGUGCCCUGCAUGAAAAUCAUAAAUGAAUUUGAGCACAUCUUCUUUAAUAAUAUCCCAACAAGACUUGAGGAAUUCAUUGUUAAAACCAUCAGGGCCAGGAGACUUGUCAUUUGGGAGAUCAUGAACAACAGCUUCAAUUUCUUCAGCAGUAAAAGGCAGUUCCAGAUUAGCAAAAAUAUCUGAAUGUUGUCUCUGCCCAUACAAAGAAACCAGAUCAAAGUGCAUUGUGGUUUCUUGGGAUGUGCCCAUUCUUUUUUUGUAAGCAUCCAAGAGAAUAGCAGCUUUGCCAGCAUGAUCUGAGAUCUCCAUUUGGUCCUCAUUGUGAAGUAUAGGAAUAUGGUUAUGCCUGUAAUUGAUGGAAGCUUUUGUGUGAAUUUUUUUUGUGUUUUCAUCUCCAAACUUCACCCCCUUGAUUUUUCCUCUCUGCUUCCAAUAAAUCUGUUGAUUCCUCAGUAAUAUAAGCAGUUGUUCUUUAAGAAUAGCCCUGCAGUUCCAUUCAUGAGUAUCCAGCUCUCUAAAUUCCUCAAAGAAAUCCCACAUGAAGAUGAGCUCAUUUAACUUUGCAAUUGUAGUUUUCAGACAGGACAGAGAUUUAGCCCACACCUUCAAAGCUCUUCUUAAAAUCUUGAACUUAGCAUUCAAAGACUUAACAGAAUCAAGGUUUCCCACUGGGAUUCUCCAAGCAGAGGCAACAACUUGUUUGAAAUCAGAAUGAUGCAGCCAAUAGUUCUCAAACCUGAAUACUCUUGCCUUUGGGAUAGAAGUACCAACUUUUAUUACACAGGGCAAGUGAUCAGAUAUAGGUUUUGCAAGUGGUAGUACAAUUGUAUUAGGGAAAGAAGUCAUCCAGGAGGCAGAAGUGAAAAACCAGUCAAGUUUGACCAACAAAGGAUCAUGCUGCAUGUUACUCCAACUGAACUUUCUACCAUGCAAAGGUAAUUCAACCAAACCUUGGUUACUAAUUGCCUCAUUGAACAUAAGCAUAUCAUUAACAUCUCCCCCAGGUCUGUUCCUAUCUGAUGGAGCCCUCAUAAGGUUGAAAUCUCCCAUUAAGAUCCAGUCAACAUCAUCAGGCAUGUGAAUAUUUAGAAACCAGUUAAUAAACUCCAUUUUGUCUUGAGGGUCACAUGGACCAUAGAUAUUUGAAAGAAUCCAAGACUGAUUGGAAAGCAAAUUGGUGAACUGCAUGGAAAGUGAAAACCUGUUUUGUGCAAUGAUUUGUCCAGAGAAUUGUGAGCCAUUCCAGGCCACUAGGAGCCCCCCAGAAGCUCCAACAGAGGGGAGGAAGGCAAAAUUAUUAAUUCUAGAGGGGCAGAAUUUUUUUAAGUAGGUUGUGUCAAAGGUCUCUCUUUUGGUUUCUUGAAGGCACACAAUAUUACAAUCACUCUCAUCAAUCUUCUGUCUUAAAGCCAGGCAUUUGUCCUCAGAAUUCAUACCUCUAAUGUUCCAAUUUAGAAUAUUCCAGUUUCUGUUAUUGUUAUUCAUGGAAACAAAUUGAGAUUUUGUACCAGAGAGCAAGCACCAUCACUUGAUCAUCAUCCAAAAAGGAAAGAAACUGGUAUAAUGCCCUGAUCCACAACAUAACAUAAUUCCAGCAGAGCAUCCAAAUAUGACACAUGAAAGGACUAGCAGGAAAGUACAGCCACAGGCAUACAAGGUUCAGAAAGCACCAAGAUCCAAGUCUUACAAUUGGCAAAAGCAGCAACAAACUAAGUGGUGUGGAACUACAAACACAAUCCCACCACACAACACUCCAAGAAAGGUCCCUAAACAUUACGAAGAGGUGGUAGCAUGUCCUUCUCCUUUGGCCAAGGGCACCUUGUCCAAAACCUCCUCUUGCAUUCUCUUGGGCUUCUUGGCCAGUAUGUCCUCCAGUUCCCCCUCAGAAACCUUACAGAAAGAGGCAUUGAGGUUUUUAACAACUGAUUUUUUGAUGGUGGGAGGGACAGCAUUGCAAGGUAAACAAUUAUUAUUAGGGCAUGAAUUUCUCUUGUAACCAGCAUUGUCUUUCUUAAUUCUGUCACUUCUUCUUACCUCUGUUUCCACAAGUGGAGUUUUUCCACUUCUCCUCUUCCUCAAAUUUUCCUGGCCAAAAGGGUGCAGCAAGGCCUGUGACUCCACAUCAUGCAAAUUUGCAGCCACCCCAAUAUUUUCUUUACCCUUGUCCUUAUCACCUUCCUCCAUGACCUGACAGAUUGGUGCAUGAGAGGUAGGACAUUUGUCAGGUAUAUGAAACAGAAAAGCUUGGUCCAUAUUUUCCACAGCAGUGAACAGAACCCACAUUCCAGAUUUUAACAUAUUGACAGUCCAGGAAAACUUAUCAGGGGACAGGAGCAAGUGGACAAUAAAGUUAAACCAACUUACAGGAAUGUUAGUAGAGAAAAAGCUCCUGUUGUCCAAUGCUUUCUCUUUAAAGUGCUGCUUCCACAGUAACAUGCCUUCUUCAGAAACAGAGAGUUCAGUGUUAGCAGUGGCAGCCAUCUGAAUACUUUUCAGACCAAGGAGGGAAGGUGCCAUGUUAAAGUGCUCAUUGAUUUGAUUAACCCAGUUACCUUGGAGACCUGACUGGAGGUCCUCUAAAUUCUCCACAGGCUGUAAACUUCCUCUGGCAGUAAUAACAUGUUCAGCAGUGUCAUUCAAGACUUGAGUUGAUGAUCCAGUAGUUGUCAUAGGAAGAUCAGAAAACAUGACAGGCUCCAAAGCUGCUUCCAGAAGUGCAGGUUGGUCAGAAGCCACCUCCAAGGGAGGAGAAACAUCAGGAGCAACCUGUGUUGCAAGAGGGAUUGAGGCAACAUGUUGCAGUGGGUCUGCAGGAGGCUGAUCAUGCAAAGCAGCCACCUCCUGGGUUUGCUCCUGCAAUACAGGAGGCUCCUCAUCAUCUGACUGGUAUGCUUGAAUUAUGUUCUGCAGUCCAUUUGCCAUCACAACAGUAGUAGGUUGGGCAAUUGCAGCCCUAGCAUGAGUGGCUUCCACAGUAACUGAAGGCAAAACCAUAUGAGAAUUGUCUCCAUCAGAAAAGGACAUGUCUGAAGAGAAACUGCUAUUACUAGGUGCUGGAAGCAGCUCUUCACCAUCUGCCCAGCCCAUUUCCUCCUAUUGUACAGCAUCAAGAAGAUCUUCCAACUCAGCAUUAUGGAUGUGCUGAUGGUUAUCGUCCCAGUUAUCCCAGUUUGCAGCAACCUGAACAUCCACCUCAUUAUUGAUGGCUGCAACAACAUGAAAACCCUCAGCAGGCACAACAUUCUCAGGUAGAGGGUGCGGGUCCUCAUUAGCAGGAGGAAAAGGGUCCUCAUCUGCAGGUCCUCCACCAAGGAGCUCACUGGCCAGCACUUCGAUGGAGGAAGACCAGCCGUCCCCCUCAAAUUCAUCCCCUUCAGACCAGCGCAUACUUUUUGGGAUGGUAUCCAAGUUCAGAACUCUUGCCUUGACCACAAUGCAACCCAUGUGGUCAUCCUCCUUGUCCCAGGAAAUCAUGCGGCCAAACUUACUAACAGCACAAGCAAGAUCUUCAGUGGUGCGGAAAUCAAAAGGGACUCCCGUCAGAAGCAACCACACCACUCUGUUAAGAUGAACCCUCCUGUGAUUCCUUCCCUCAUCAUGCCUCGCAAAACUAAUGAACACAUCUCCAAACUCGUGGGGGCUAUCAAGGACCAACUUGUCCCUAUCCCUAACCCGCGUGAGACGAACAUAUGCCUCACCGAACGGACAGCGCUGGAUAUCUCGCAGCCCCAACCGUCUAUGUUCAACAAUAAAAUCCUUAAGAACAUCUCUUACAUUGUGGAAUGGAGCAUCUGCAGGGAGAGGGUGAAUAGUCGCAAUCGCCCAGUCCUCAUGGCGACGAGGGCGCUGCGGUAGCACCACCCGAGCCACACCAUUGCGCCCAGGAACCUGCUGAAUGUUGAAGCCAUGUGGCACAAAGGGGCGUGGGUCGAUCGGGAUGUUGGCCAUCGGCGUCGCCGAAGAACGCGAGAUCACCGGCGAAGUGAGGCGCAAAGCACUAGAAGCAGAGUUUGUGCACAGAGGUGAGACAGAGGAACAGAGCGGAGAAGUUGAGGAGGCAAGGGGACGAUGAGGCUAGAAAUUAGGAAAAGAUCCCAAACAAAGCUCACUAAAAGAGGAAACGAGCGGAGGCUCGCGGGCUGGGCCAACUGACUGAAACCAGUCAUGGACCGCGUCUAAGUCCCAGGCCUCAGGCAAUGGGCUGGGGAAAGCGUCAAACCGGAGAUAAGGAAAAAGCCCAGGAAGGCGAUUGGCAUUGCACUCCUUAGCAAAAUGGCCCAACUUGCCACACGCGUAGCACUGAAAAGAGAAAUUAGAGUGAUCCAGAUUCCCGCCCGACGUACCCGCAGCGAGAUCCUCGCCCGAGGAAUUAAUAUUGGGCAAUGAGUGCACAUUAUUGUCCGAGGCCACAUUACUGCUGACGGUCGGAAAAUUCGCUAACCUAGCAAAAACCGACUGCCGUGGUUGAUCACCGGAAAAUCUACCGGCGGAGGAGCGUGGGCGUGAUCCAGAACUGACCAAAGUCCAAGAAGCUUCUUCCUCUCGAUAAAAAAGUUGUUCUUCACGUAACCAGUUCGGUCCUCCAAAACCCCAAAGAUUGAACACUAACUCAAAAUCCUUCUCAACCACCCGACCCUGAUUAUAAAUUUCAAAACCCACUGCUUUGGAGGCAACCGAAAACUUGAAUGAUCUGUCCUUGAGAUGUAGCACAUGAAACCCUUGUGGAUAACCGCCAAAACAAGAUUGCAACGUGACACUGACUGUGUGACAAUCCAACCGAAAUCGAGCACGGCAAAAGGAAACCACCAAAGUGAAUUCACGUUGACGAAAACCAUGGGAAAACACCACCGGAUGACCAAACUUUUGUCUCAUUGAAAGCUGAAAUUCUUUACCUCGAGCAAAGUUGAGAGAGGGAGGAUCCAUGGCCAUGCAAGGGCCAAAAACUUCCCACAAAGGGCCUAGAGACAGCAAGGUGGACAGAUGGAUGGUGGCCGCCGGUGCUGGAGCGGCAGCCGAUGGGAGGAGGGGUGGCCGCCGGGGCCGGAGUGGCCACCGGCGGGGAGCGCCUAGAGAGAGCCUAGAGAGCGCCUAGAGAUAGCAGCACCACUUCAUACCAUCCCCAUCUUCGCCUAGAGAGAGCCUAGAGAGCGCCUAGAGAUAGCAGCUCUUUUAUUUUUGCAUUGCAUCAUGCCAUCAUGUCAUUAAUCUUUGCAUCUCAACUCAACUAAUAAAUUGCAUAGAUGGUUGAUCUAUUUAAAUCGAGGGAAGGGUGACUUCUCUUUAUAACAUAUCCUCCCAAUUUUAGGGAGCUAUAAUAAAGCAAUCCAUAAAUUUGGAAUUAACCAUAACACACUUGCAUUUUAAUUCUCAUGCCUUUUGCUUCAAGGUUGUUCUCCAAACUUUCUCUAUAAUUCUUUCUCCUUUCAUCGAGGCUCCUCCUAAAUUUUCAACAUUUUUGAGCACUCCUAAACCUUGUCCUAGUUCAAACCAUUUGAAUUAAAUUCAAAUGAGUUUGAAUUAAACUCUUCCAUAUCGCGUGAAACUUCUUUUCUUGGGCUAAGUAUAAUUCUUAGACUCUGUAGGAGAAGUUUCAGCAUUUUUCCAAACCCCUAGCUAUUUCUUUCCUUCCCUUUUCCUUCUGUCUAUUCUAUUUUUCUGUAGGUGGGAAAUAGCGAGAAGGUUGGCCUUUUGCACCGAAGCUACAACCAGCCCAUCUAACCUCCUAGGCCCAGCCUCCAAGGCCCAUUCGUAGCCUAGCCAGUGCCCUGUUAACCCUAGCCCAGAGCCCUCCUCUCGAUCUCUCCCUCUCGUCCUCCCACACUGCCGCCACACACACGCAUCGCACAGGAGAGGAGCGCACGCGCCCGAUCCCCAUGGCGCCCCUGUUCCCCACGCCCGUGGCCCUCGACGCUCGCCGGCGCUGCAGCUCCUUCUCCACUUCGUCGUCGUCCUCGCCUCGCCUCUGCCCUGACCCUGCCGCGGCCACCUCUGCUCGCCCUUCCAUCUUCGCCGCUGCUCCAGCUCGCCUCUGCUCCGCGCCGCUCCUCCUCUACCAUGGCCUUCCUCCUUCAGCGUCGCGCCUGCACCCAUCAUCGCCGCCCCAAGCCGCUCCCUCACCACCCCUCGCCGUCCCGACCAGCAGCAGGAAACCAGGAGCUCAAGCCCUGCCAUGGCCGCCCCCGUUCGUCGCCUCCGCCGCCAGAUCCGCGCCGCCAGCCCCUCGUCGGAGUCGCGCCAAGCUCCCCUGCAUCGCGCGAGUCGCCGAGCCCCUACCUCCUCGCCCGCUCCGUGUUGACCAGCUCGCCAGGUCCCUUGCACCAGCGCCGCGACUUCCUCCUCUGCUCGCGAGCCCUGCUUCGCUGUUGCGCCUCCCUGGCCUCGCUGCCUCCGCCACAUGCCAGCAGCACAUCCACCUCGCCGUCGACCUCCUGUUGUCGUGGAUCCAAGGUCACCGCACUGUACAACUACGUUGAGAGGACCCGGAUUGCCAAGUUCUUUUCGGAGACCUCUCCAAGACCAGGAUACGCCAAGACCCGUUCGUGGAUUUCGUCAAGUUCGAGCACCGCUGAACGAGGGCUUUUGCCUUGCUCAUUUUGGACGAGCCAAGUUCCUCUCCGAACGUGUACGACUACCAACGAGUACCUCUACCGUCGCCGUGUACAACUACUUCCACUACUGUCGCAAGAACGUCUACUUCCUUCUACACCGCAUCGAACUCGUUCCGCCCCGAAAACGCACGCUUCAAAGGUAUAAUGACGAGACGACCGCCGCGGACCGAAUGCAUGUGUUGUAUGAGAUGCACUGUUUGCAUCGUGUCUGAUUUGCCACUCGUUUCCAUGCCACUGACCCGUGGGAACCCGGUAGUCGGGAGCACCCCACCAUCUCUAGCAUGUUCUGCACAUCCGCACACUUCCUUUUGAACCGGUAUCUCCAUGAGCUACCGGAACCGAUAUGUUGCCGUGGCAUCAUUUUCGGAUUCGUCGCCGUGACACCCUUUCUUUCCGCCACGGUGACAAAUGCCUCGUGUCUUGCUCAUUUCAACAUUUUCAUAAAAUUGAUUAAAACUUGCAUAUGUCAUCCGCAUCAUGAUAACAAUAUUUAAAAUGUUUAUAUUUGUUGUUUCCAUUAAAUUGCUAAAUUUGCAUAUGGGGAUUUUCCGGAAUUGUUGUUUGUUAUUUCCGGUCUCAUUUAAACUUGCCUAAAUAGUCAGUUUAAUUAUGCUUCACCUCUUGCCAUGUUAACCAACAUUUAAUCUUGUCUUGUUCAUAAACGAGAGCAAACUAAAUAACUUCAAUGUGGUGUUUCGUCAAUAUGCAAGUCGUUGCAUAUUGAGCUCCACUUAAUUUGUAGUAUUGUUUGUGCACUUUGCCAUGCCAUGCCUCUUUAAAUCGGACAUGCAUCAUACUUGUUUGUGCAUCAUGUCAUGAUUAUGCUUGUGUGUUUUACCAUGUUGUUUGCUUCUUUCCGGUUUGCUUCUCUCGUUAGCUUCGGUUUCAUUCCGGAGUUGUGAGGAUUCGUUCGACUACGUCCGUUUGUCUUCUUCAUGCACUCGUUCUUCUUCCUUGCGGGAUCUCAGGCAAGAUACCAUACCCUCGAAAUCAUUUCUAUCUUUGCUUUGCUGGUUGUUCGCUCUAUCGCUAUGCUUGCGCUACCUACCACUUGUUUAUCAUGCCUCCCAUAUUGCCAUGUCAAGCCUCUAACCAUCUUUUCCUAGCAAACCGUUGUUUGGCUAAGUUACCGCUUUUGCUCAGCCCUUCUUAUAGCGUUGCUAGUUGCAGGUGAAGAUGAAGUUGGUUCCAUGUUGAAACAUGGAUAUUUUGGGAUAUCACAAUAUCUCUUAUUUAAUUUAAUGCAUCUAUAUACUUGGUAAAGGGUGGAAGGCUCGGCCUUAUGCCUGGUGUUUUGUUCCACUCUUGCCGCCCUAGUUUCCGUCAUACCGGUGUUAUGUUCCUUGAUUUUGCGUUCCUUACGCGGUUUGGUGAUUUAUGUGUUGGGGAUCGUAGCAGAAAUUAAAAUUUUUCUACGCAUCACCAAGAUCAAUCUAUGGAGUAACUAGCAAUGAGAGAGAGGAGAGUGCAUCUUCAUACCAUUGAAGAUCGCGAGACGGAAGCGUUGCAAGAACGCGGAUGAGGGAGUCGUACACGUAGCGAUUCAGAUCGCGGCAGAAUCCGAUCCAAGCACCGAACAACGUUGCCUCCGCGUUCACCACACGUGCAGCCCGGUGACGUCUCCCACGCCUUGAUCCAGCAAGGAGGAGGGAGAGGUUGAGGAAGAAGGCUCCAACAGCAGCACGACGGCGUGGUGGUGGUGGAGUGACAGUUCUCCGGCAGGGCUUCGCCAAGCACACGCGGAGGAGGAGAGGUGUUGGGGAGGGGAGGGGCUGCGCCUUGGAUGUGGUGCUGCAGCCCUCCCCUCACCCCUCUAUUUAUAGGGAGAAAGGGCAAGGGGGCCGGCCCCUCUAGAUGAGAUCUAGAGGGGGGGCGAUGGCCAAGGGGGAGGGAGCUUGCCCCCCAAGCAAGGGGGGCGCCCCCUUUAGGGUUCCCCCCAAACCCUAGGCGCAUGGGCCCUAGGGGGGUUGGCGCCCAGCCCACUUAGGGCUGGUUCCCUUCCACCUACAGCCCAUAAGGCCCUCCGGGGCAGGUGGACCCUCCCGGUGGACCCCCGGAACCCCUCCGGUGGUCCCGGUACAAUACCGGUAUACCCCCGAAUAUUUCCGGUGACCGUAUGAUGACUUACCAUAUAUAAAUCUUCACCUCCGGACCAUUCCAGAACUCCUCGUGACGUCCGGGAUCUCAUCCGGGACUCCGAACAACAUUCGGUAAUCACAUACAAACCUUCCUUAUAACCCUAGCGUCAUCGAACCUUAAGUGUGUAGACCCUACGGGUUCGGGAAUCAUGCAGACAUGACCGAGACACCUCUCUAGCCAAUAACCAACAGCGGGAUCUAGAUACCCAUGUUGGCUCCCACAUGUUCCACGAUGAUCUCAUCGGAUGAACCACGAUGUCGAGGAUUCAAGCAAUCCCGUAUACAAUUCCCUUUGUCAAUCGGUACGUUACUUGCCCGAGAUUCGAUCGUCGGUAUCCCAAUACCUCGUUCAAUCUCGUUACCGGCAAGUCACUUUACUCGUUCCGUAAUGCAUGAUCCCGUGACCAACUACUUGGUCACAUUGAGCUCAUUAUGAUGAUGCAUUACCGAGUGGGCCCAGAGACACCUCUCCGUCAUACGGAGUGACAAAUCCCAGUCUCGAUCCGUGCCAACCCAACAGACACUUUCGGAGAUACCUGCAGUGCACCUUUAUAGCCACCCAGUUACGUUGUGACGUUUGGUACACCCAAAGCAUUCCUACAGUAUCCGGGAGUUGCACGAUCUCAAGGUCUAAGGAAAUGAUACUUGACAUUAGAAAAGCUUUAGCAAACGAACUACAUGAUCUAGUGCUAUGCUUAGGAUUGGGUCUUGUCCAUCACAUCAUUCUCCUAAUGAUGUGAUCCCGUUAUCAAUGACAUCCAAUGUCCAUGGUCAGGAAACCGUAACCAUCUAUUGAUCAACGAGCUAGUCAACUAGAGGCUCACUAGGGACAUGUUAUGGUCUAUGUGUUCACACAUGUAUUACGAUUACCGGAUAACACAAUUAUAGCAUGAACAAUAGACAAUUAUCAUGAACAAGGAAAUAUAAUAAUAACCAUUUUUUCAUUGCCUCUAGGGCAUAUUUCCAACAUUAUGGGACCCCCUUGACAGUUCGCUUUGGUUGAAACUCCUCCAGCAAGGCCCAACCUUGGUUUUACCAUUUGCCACCUAAGCCUUUUUCCCUUGGGUUUUCGCGAGCCCGAGGGUCAUCUUUAUUUAACCCCCCCGGGUCAGUGCUCCUUCGAGUGUUGGUCCGAACCGAGCAACCUGCGGGGCCACCUCGGGGCAACUUGAGGGCUGGUUUUACUCGUAGCUUGACUUAUCCAGUGUGCCCUGAGAACGAGAUAUGUGCAGCUCCUAUCGGGAUUUGUCGGCACAUCGAGCGGCUUUGCCGGUCUUGUUUUACCAUUGUCGAAAUGUCUUGUAAAUCGGGAUUCCAAGACUGGUCGGGUCUUCCCGGGAGAAGGAAUAUCCUUCGUUGACCGCGAGAGCUUGUGAUGGGCUAAGUUGGGACACCCCUGCAGGGUAUUAUCUUUCGAAAGCCGUGCCCGCGGUUAUGAGGCAGAUGGGAAUUUGUUAAUGUCCGGUUGUAGAGAACUUGACACUUGACUUAAUUAAAAUGCAUCAAUCACGUGUGUAGCCGUGAUGAUCUCUUUCCGGCGGAGUCCGGGAAGUGAACACGGUUCUUGUGUUGUGGUUGCACGUAAGUAGUUUCAGGAUCACUUCUUGAUCACUUCUAGCUUCUCGACCGAUGCGUUGCGUCUCUUCUCGCUCUCCUUUGCGUAUGUUAGCCACCAUAUAUGCUUAGUGCUUGCUGCAGCUCCACCAUAUUUCCCCUUUCCUACCUACAAGCUUAAAUAGUCUUGAUCUCGCGGGUGUGAGAUUGCUGAGUCCUCGUGACUCAUAGAUUCUACCAAAACAGUUGCAGGUGCCGACGAUACCAGUGCUAGUGACGCAACCGAGCUCAAGUGGGAGUUCGACGAGGAACUUGGUCGUUACUAUGUUUCGUUUCCGGAUGAUCAGUAGUGGAGCCCAGUUGGGACGAUCGGGGAUCUAGCAUUUGGGGUUAUCUUCGUUUCAUUUGGAUUUGACCGUAGUCGGUCUAUGUGUGUAUUUUGGAUGAUGUAUGAAUUUAUCUAUGUUUUGUGUGAAGUGGCGAUUGUAAGCCAACUCUCUUUAUCCCAUUCUUGUUCAUUACAUGGGAUUGUGUGAAGAUGACCCUUCUUGCGACAAUACCUACAAUGCGGUUAUGCCUCUAAGUCGUGCCUCGACACGUGGGAGAUAUAGCCGCAUCGUGGGCGUUACAAGGUUGAAGAUGAAUUGCAGGCCCUCCCUAAACUACAUGUGAAGAGCCUCUGUGCUACCAUUGCGUUCAGUUUCGACAGUAACAUUCCGAUUCCACAGUAAAUUUCAGUUUCGACAGUUAAAUUCAGAGUCAACAGUUUUUACCUCAUCUAUUGUAGUCAGGUGGUUUUUGGUGAUGUAAAUGUUACAUCUAUCACUUUUUGGUAAUGUAUUUUACAUCGUCUAUUGGAGAUGCUAUUAGAAUCCCACUUGAGAUUAACGAUGUCUGUCUUGUGCUGCUUCAGCCUCGGUGUCUUACGGCUCGCCGGAGCUGCUCCGAUGACGGAAUGAUCCAUCACAACAGAGCAGUGCCCUGGACGCCGUCUACAGAUUCCUCAGAUCUUCCUCCACACCUCUGACAGCCACCUCUGCCUUAACUUCUUCAGCGACCAACCCAAUGAUGCUGAGGUCGACACGGCUACGGCAAAGAGGUUGUACACUUGUCACAUCACUUAUUACUCUACAUUCAUGUCAAUCCAUUAGGGCUAUUUUGGUUCAAUGGAAAAACAUAGCAAUAGGAAUUUUUCCUAUGACACUCUACUAUUCAAUUAUUCAUGCAUUUUGUUGAAAGGAAUGGAGCAAAACAUCCACCUGGACCUACUUUUCAAAAUCCUAUGCAUGAAAACAAAACCAAGUGCAUUAGUGGCAGAAUAACAUUCUAACUGUACACGCUUUCAUAUUGUUUCACUUUAUUUUGGCCAUGUUUCUUUGCAUUCCUCUGCUCUUCCAAUUCCCGUGAACCAAACACCCAAGUUGGCAGAAAUCCCGUGUUUACAAAUGCUCUGUUUCCCAUGUGCAUUCCUAUCCUAUUCCGGUGUUUUUCCUAUCCUUGCAUUUUUAGAAUCAUGCAAGCCAAAUGAGCCCUUACAGAAUUACUUCAGUUACAGGUAGGUGUCUAAGAAAACUUUGUGUGGUUUGUCCUGCUCCUGCCGCGACGUCGUCCAUCUCACCUAAGCUGCUCCAUCGACAGAAGCAGCCACCAAACCAGACAUCACGACUCAUGAUCGUCUUUCGCCGCCUCAGAUCUCCUUCCCUGCCGCUAGCACCCACUGCAACGGCAUCACCAUCAUCGACUCAGCAGAUGAACUUGAGGAGUACACGGGUCCACAAGAGAGGUCGCACUCUUUUGUUUCUGCUUAUGUUAUGCAUUGCUUAAUAUUACCUGCUACUUUAUCGUCAUGUUCACCUCUUAGACUCCAUGUCAGGUCCAAAUUAAUGUUCAAACUUGAGUUCUAAAUUAGUUGUGGGGCACAUAUCGAGGCAGCAAUGAAUAGUAUCUCUGUCUAAUAUCUGGUUCACCUAGGGUAUGCCUAUGUUGUUCAUCUUGGGUGGGAAACAAAUAGUAAAGCAAUCAUCAUCUGUCUUUUUAUUAAGUUAAAGCAAUCAUCAGCCUGCUAUCAUUAUUUUUGGAUCCAUCCACUGGUUGUUACCACCACUCUAGAUUUUUGCAUGCUCUCCUUACAUAAUCUCACCAUAUUUUUUUCAUAUGCAUGUCAGAUAUUGUACACAGUCAUGCUAAACAUGUAGAGAAAAAGAGAAGAGUUUUGCGCGGCAAUACAAUGUCAUGCAGACAUCGCUCCAUGGUGGGUUCAAUGGCAAACCCUCCCUCUCUCCAGAUUGUAAUCCAGAGGAAGAUAUCUGUUCUGAGGCGGAUUCAGACGCAGCUGACCACUCCUAUUUACCCCACAAGGUGUUUGCUCUAACUUGGCAUGAUGAUGUUAGUCAUAUCAUGCAUAUGUUCCCUUGAAGUGCCUACUUUCGACAAAACCCAAAUAUUGGAGAAUAAAUACGAGGCUAUAAGAGAUCAUGCAUAUAAGAGAUCAAAGAAACUCAAAUAACUUUCAUGGAUAUAAAAAGGUAUGACUGAUCAUAAACUCGAAGUUCUUCAGAUCCCAACAAACACACUGCAAAAGAGUUACAUCAUAUGGAUCUCCAAGAGACCAUUGUAUUGAGAAUUCAGCGAGAGAGAGAAAGCCAUCUAGCUACUAACCACGGACCCGAAGGUCUACAAAGAACUACUCACGCAUCAUCGGAGAGGCACCAAUGGAGGUGGUGAACCCCAUCUGAGAUGAUGUCUAGAUUGGAUCUGGUGGUUCUAGACUCUGCGGCGGCUGGAUGAAUAUUUCAUCGACGUGUCUAGGGUUCUGGUAUUUUUGGGGUAUUUAUAGAGCAAAGAGGCGGUCCGGGGGGCACCCGAGGUGGGCACAACCCACCAGGGCGCGCCUAGGCCUCCUGGCUCGCCCUGGUGGGUUGUGCCCCCCUCGGGGCACCCCCAGGUGCAACCAGGGCCCAUUGCCUUCCUUUUGGCCCAUAAAAAAUCAUCGUGAAGUUUCCUGGCAUUUGGACUCCGUUUGAUAUUGAUUUCCUGCGAUGUAAAAAACAUGGAAAAAAUAGCAACUGGCACUUGGCACUAUGUCAAUAGGUCGGUACCAAAAAAUGCUAUAAAAUGAUUAUAAAACAUCCAAGAUUGAUAAUAAAACAGCAUGGAACAAUAAAAAAUUAUAGGUACGUUGGAGACGUAUCAGGAUCCAUGGGCCUUCUACGGACCAUAGGAUCCAUGGGCCUUCUACGGGCCGUCUCACCUAUGGGCCUUUCACGGGCCGUAUAAUCGUUUCGCCGAACAUGGGCCAUACUAUUCGUGGACCAAUGACGGACCGCACAAUGGGCCGUAAACGGGCUAGAGUGGAAAUCGUCUGUUUUAUGGCCCAACCAUAACGGGCCGUCAAUAGGCCAUAAUUGAUGAGGCUACGAAAACAGCCCAACGUGUUAACGGGCCACAAAUAGGCCGACUGUAACCACGGGCUGAAUUUGGCCCACAAGCAGAACAGACCAGUAACAGACCGUAAGUAAUCGAAUUCUGGAAAUGAGCCCAAGAAUAAAUGGGCCCUUAGAAGGCCGAAAGUUAACACAGGCUGGAAACAGCCGACGGACUAAUGGGCCGUUAAUGGGUAUAAAGCGAUACACUGUUCAUUACGGGCCAAUUCCACCACGGGUCGUUAAUGGGCCAAGAGUUACAAAGGGCCUCAUAUGGGCAGAAAGACGUCAUGGGCCAUACAUGGGCCGGAAGUUACAACGGGCUGGAAUCAUACUAGACGGCCCAGAUGACGCUACUUGGCCUAAUUCGGAUAAGUCGUAACGGGCCAUGACCUAGCGGGCUAUAAAUGGGCAAUAUGCGAACAUGCCGUUAACAGGCUUUGCGUGUGCCGGCCCGCUACCUAUUUGACCAAGUCAAAUGGGCCGACCCUUUCACUGGAAUGGGCCUCUGUUGGGCCGUGCCAUGUGUCGACGUGUCAUAGGCUCUUUCGGUCCAAUGAGUUGAUGACAUCUGUCCCAACGGUGAGGCGACACGUGGUUCCUGUGGCCAUUGAGAAUUUUACACGUGGAAAAUCCCUAUUGGUCCAGGCUAUUAACAGGUUAUCAGAUCCAAACUGGAACCCGAUAGCUUAACAGCGACCCGUUACGGUGGAUGCCACGUGUCGGUUACCCUUGACGAAAGCAAUUCUAUGACACACGAUUUAUCGUCAUGGAAGUGGACACUUCCGUGAUGAUAAUUUUGGUAAUGUCAUGGAAGACUUCUACGACAGCACAGGUAUGACUAUCUUGAUUCUGUCAUAAAAUCUUCAUGGAUCUACAUGCUAAAGGAAAUAUUCCCUAGAGGCAAUAAUAAAGUUGUUAUUUAUAUUUGCUUAUAUCAUGAUAAAUGUUUAUUAUUCAUGCUAAAAUUGUAUUAACCGAAACUUAGUACAUGUGUGAAUACAUAGACAAAACAGAAUGUCCCUAGUAUGCCUCUACUUGACUAGCUCAUUAAUCAAAGAUGGUUAAGUUUCCUGACCAUAGACAUGUGUUGUCAUUUGAUGAACGGGAUCACAUCAUUAGGAGAAUGAUGUGAUGGACAAGACCCAUCCACUAGCUUAGCAUGUUGAUCGUUCAUUUUUAUUGCUAUUGCUUUCUUCAUGACUUAUACAUGUUCCUCUAUCUAUGAGAUUAUGCAACUCCCGAAUACCGGAGGAACACCUUGUGGGCUAUCAAACGUCACAACGUAACUGGGUGAUUAUAAAGAUGCUCUACAGGUGUCUCCGAAGGUGUUAGUUGGGUUUGCAUAGAUCAAGAUUAGGAUUUGUCACUCCUAGUAUCGGAGAGGUAUCUCUGGGCCCUCUCAGUAAUGCACAUCAUAAGAAGCCUUGCAAGCAAAGUGACUAAUGGGUUAGUUGCGGGAUGAUGCAAUACGGAAUGAGUAAAGAUACUACCGGUAACGAGAUUGAACUAGGUAUGAUGGUACCGACGAUCGAAUCUUAGGCAAGUAACAUAGCGAUGACAAAGGGAAUGAUGUAUGUUGUUAUGCGGUUUGACCGAUAAAGAUCUUCGUAGAAUAUGUAGGAGCCAAUAUGAGCAUCCAGGUUCCGCUAUUGGUUAUUGACCGGAGAUGUGUCUCGGUCAUGUCUACAUAGUUCUCGAAUCCGUAGGGUCCGCACGCUUAACGUUCGAUGACGAUUUAUAUUAUGAGUUAUGUGAUUUGAUGACCGAAGUUUGUUCGGAGUCCCGGAUGAGAUCACGGACAUGACAAGGAGUCUCGAAAUGGUCGAGUGGUAAAGAUCAAUAUAUUGGAAGGCUAUAUUCGGACAUCAGAAUGGUUCCGAGUGAUUCGGGUAUUUUUCGGAGUACCGGAGAGUUACGGGAAUUCGCCGGGGGAAGUUAACGGGCCUUAUUGGGCUUUAGUGGAGAGAGGGAAGAAGGGCCACAAGGUGGCGCGCGCCUCCCCCCUGCCCAAACUGAAUUGGACAAGGGGUGGGGGCGCGGCCCCCCUUUCCUUCUCCCUCUCUCUCCUUUCCUUCUUUCCUACUCUGAAAAGGAAAGGGAAUCCUACUAGGACUUGGGAGUCCUAGUAGGACUCCCUACACUUGGCGCGCCCCUAGGAGGGCCGGCCUCUCUCCCUCCCUUCUUUAUAUACGUGGGCAGGGGGCACCCCAAAGGCACACCAAGUCUUCUCUUAGCUGUGUGCGAUGGCCCCCUCCACAGUUACACACCUCGGUCAUAUCGUCGUAGUGCUUAGGCGAAGACCUGCGCCGGUAACUUCAUCAUCACCGGCACCAUGCCGUCGUGCUGACAGAACUCUCCCUCGGCCUCAACUGGAUCAAGAGCUCAAGGGACGUUAUCAUGCUAAACGUGUGCUGAACACGGAGGUGCCGUACGUUCGGUACUUGGAUCGGUUGGAUCGCGAAGACGUUCAACUACAUCAACCGCAUUACUAAAAGUUUCCGCUUUCAGUCUAUGAGGGUACGUGGACACACUGUCCCGUUUCAUUGCUAUGCAUCUCCUAGAUAGAUCUUGCAUGAUCGUAGGUAAAUUUUUUGAAAUACUGCGUUUCGCAACAGUGGCAUCCGAGCCAGGUCUAUGCGUAGAUGUUAUAUGCACGAGUACACCACAAAGAGUAGUGGGCGAUAAUAGUCAUACUGCUUACCACCAACGUCUUACUUUGAUUCGGCGAUAUUGUUUGAUGAAGCGGCCUGCACCGACAUUACAUGACCGCGUUCAUGAGACUGGUUCUACCGACAUGCUUCGCACACCAGUGGCUGGCGGGUGUCUGUUUCUCCAAUAUUAGUUGAAUUGAGUUUGACUACGGCCGGUCCUUGUUGAAGGUUAAAACAACGCACUUGACAACAAAUUGUUGUGGUUUUGAUGCGUAGGUAAGAACGGUUCUUGCUAGAAGCCCGUAGCAGCCACGUAAAACUUGCAACAACAAAGUAGAGGAUGUCUUACUUGUUUUUGCAGGGCAUGUUGUGAUGUGAUAUGGUCAAGACAUGAUGAGAUAUAAAUUGUUGUAUGAGAUGAUCAUGUUUUGUAAAAGUUAUCGGCAACUGGCAGGAGCCUUAUGGUUGUCGCUUUAUUGUAUGAAAUGCAAUCGCCAUGUAAUUGCUUUAAUUUAUCAUUAAGCGAUAGCGAUAGUCGUGGAAGCAACAGUUGGCGAGACGACAACGACGCUACAAUGGAGAUCAAGGUGUCAAGCCGGUGACGAUGGAGAUCAUGACGGUGCUUUGGAGAUGGAUAUGAAAGGCACAAGAUGAUGAUGGCCAUAUCAUGUCACAUAUUUUGAUUGCAUGUGAUGUUUAUCCUUUAUGCAUCUUAUUUUGCUUAGUACGGCAGUAGCAUUAUAAGAUGAUCCCUCACUAAAUUUCAAGGUACAAGUGUUCUCCCUAAGUAUGCACCAUUGCUACAGUUCGUCGUGCCGAGACACCACGUGAUGAUCGGGUGUGAUAAGCUCUACAUUCACAUACAACAGGUGCAAGCCAGUUUUGCACAUGCAGAAUACUCGAGUUAAACUUGACGAGCCUAGCAUAUGCAGAUAUGGCCUCGGAACACUGAAACCGAAAGGUCGAACAUGAAUCAUAUAGUAGAUAUGAUCAACAUAGUGGUGUUGACCAUUGAUAACUACUCCAUCUCACGUGAUGAUCGGACAUGGUUUAGUUGAUAUGGAUCACGUGAUCAUUUAGAUGACUAGAGGGAUGUCUAUCCAAGUGGGAGUUCUUAGGUAAUAUGAUUAAUUGGACUUUAAUUUAUCAUGAACUUAGUCCUGAUAGUAUUUGCAUAUCUAUGUUGUAGAUCAAUAGCUUGCGAUGUAGCUUCCCGUUUAUUUUUUGAUAUGUUCCUAGAGAAAUAUAAGUUGAAAGAUGAUAGUAGCAAUGAUGCGGACUAGGUCCAUGAUCUGAGGACUAUCUUCGUUGCUGCACAGAAGAAUUAUGUCCUUGAUGCACCACUAGGUGACAGACCUAUUGCAGGACCAGAUGCAGAUGUUAUGAACGUUUGGCAAGCUCGGUAUGAUGACUACUUGAUAGUUUAAUGCACCAUGCUUUACGGCUUAGAACCGGGACUUCAAAAACAUUUUGAACGCCACGGAGCAUAUAAGAUGUUCCAAGAGCUGAAAUUGGUAUUUCAGACUCAUGCCCGAGUCAAGAGGUAUGAGACCUUUGACAAGUAUUUUGCCUACAAGAUGGAGGAGAAUAGCUCAACCAGUGAGCAUGUGCUCAGAAUGUCUGAGUACUACUAUCGCUUGAAUCAAGUGGAAGUUAAUCUUCCAGAUAAGAUAGUGACUAACAGAAUUCUCUAGUCACUAUCACCAAGUUAUUGGAACUUCGUGAUGAACUAUAAUAUGCAAGGGAUGACGAAAAUGAUUCCCGAGCUCUUCGUGAUGCUGAAAUCGACGAAGGUAGAAAUCAAGAAAAGCAUCAAAUGUUGAUGGUUGACAAGACCACUAGUAUCAAGUAAAAGGGCAAGGGAAAGAAAGGGAACUUCAAGAAGAAUGGAAAGCAAGUUGCCACUCCCAUGAAGAAGCCCAAAGCUAGACCCAAGCCUGAAACUGAGUGCUUCUACUGCAAAGGAAAUGGUCACUGGAAGCGGAACUGCCCAAAUACUUGGCGGAUAAGAAGGAUGGCAAAGUGAACAAAAGUAUAUAUGAUAUACAUGUUAUUGAUGUGUACUUACUAGUGUUCAUAGUAGCCCCUGGGUAUUUGAUACCGGUUCGGUUGCUAUGAUUAGUAACUCGAAACAGAACAAAGACUAGUUGAGGGAGAGGUGACGAUGUGUGUUGGAAAUGAUUCCAAGGUUGAUAAGAUCACCAUCGCAUACUCCCUCUACCUUCGGGAUUAGUAUUGGAACUAAAUAAAUGUUAUUUGGUGUUUGCGUUGAGCAUAAAUAUGAUUGGAUCAUGUUUAUUGCGAUAUGGUUAUUCGUUUAAGUCAGAGAAUAAUUAUUGUUCUGUUUACAUGAAUAAAACCUUCUAUGGUCUUACAUCCAAUGUAAAUGGUUUACUGAAUCUCGAUCACUGUGAUACACAUAAUAUUGAUGCCAAAAGAUGCAAAGUUAAUAAUGAUAGUGCAACUUAUUUGUGGCACUGCCGUUUAGGUCAUAUUGGUGUAAAGCGCAUGAAGAAACUCCAUGCUGAUGGGCUUUUGGAAUCACUUGAUGCUUGUGAACCAUGCCUCAUGGGCAAGAUGACUAAAACUCCGUUCUCCGGAACAAUGGAGCGAGCCACUGACUUAUUGGAAAUAAUACAUACUGAUGUAUGCGGUCCGAUGAGUGUUGAGGCUCGUGACGGGUAUUGUUAUUUUAUGACCUUGACAGAUGAUUUAAGCAGAUAUGGGUAUAUCUACUUAAUGAAACACAAAUCUGAAACAUUUGAAAAGUUCAAAGAAAUUCAGAGUGAAGUUAAGAAUCAUCGUAACAAGAAAAUAAAGAUUCUACGAUCUGAUCGCGGAGGCAAAUAUUUGAGUUACGAGUUUGGCCUUCAUUUAAAAACAAUGUGUAAUAGUUUCACAACUCAUGCCACUUGGAACACCACGGAGUAAUGGUGUGUCCGAACAUCGUAACCGUACUUUAUUAGAUAUGGUGCGAUCUAUGAUGUCUCUUACCGAUUUACCACUAUUGUUUUGGGGUUAUGCAUUAGAGACAGCUGCAUUCACGUUAAAUAGGGCACCGUCUAAUCCGUUGAGACGACACCGUAUGAACUAUGGUUUAGCAAGAAACCUAAGCUGUCGUUUCUUAAAGUUUGGGGUUGCGAUGCUUAUGUGAAAAAGCUUUAGCCUGAUAAGCACGAACCCAAAUCGGAGAAGUGCGUCUUCAUAGGAUACCCAAAAGAAACUGUUGGGUACACCUUCUAUCACAGAUCCGAAGGCAAGAUCUUUGUUGUUAAGAAUGGAUCCUUUCUAGAGAAGGAGUUUCUAUCAAAAGAAGUGAGUGGGUGGAAAGUAGAACUUGAUGAGGUAGUUGUACCUUCUCCCGAAUUGGAAAGUAGUUCAUCACAGAAAUCAGUUCCACUGAUUCCUACACCAAUUAGUGAGGAAGCUAAUGAUGAUGAUCAUGAAACUUCAGGUCAAGUUACUACCGAACCUCGUAGGUCAACCAGAGUAUGGUCCACACUAGAGUGGUAUGGUAAUCCUUUCUGGAAGUCAUGUUACUAGACCAUGACGAACCUACGAACUAUGAGGAAGCGAUGAUGAACCCAGAUUCCGCGAAAUGGCUUGAGGCCACGAAAUUUGAGAUGGGAUCCAUGUAUGAGAACAAAGUAUGGACUUUGAUUGACUUGACCGAUGAUCGGCGAGCCAUUGAGAUUAAAUGGAUCUUCAAGAGGAAGACGGAUGCUGAUAGUAGUGUUACUAUCUACAAAGCUCGAAUUGUCGCAAAAGGUUUUUGACAAGUUCAAAGGUGUUGACUACGAUGAGAGUUUCUCACUCGUAUCUAUGCUUAAAGUCUGUCCGAAUCAUGUUAGCAAUUGCCGCAUUUUAUGAAAUUUAACAAAUGGAUGUCAAAACUGCAUUCCAUAAUGGAUUUCUUAAAGAAGAGUUGUAUAUGAUGCAACCAGAAGGUUUUGUCAAUCCGAAAGGUGUUAACAAAGUGUGUAAGCUCCAGUGAUCCAUUUAUGGACUGGUGCAAGCAUCUCAGAGUUGGAAUGUACGCUUUGAUAGUGUGAUCAAAGCAUAUGGUUUUAUACAGACUUUUGGAGAAGCAUGUAUUUACAAGAAAGUGGGUGGGAGCUCUGUAGCAUUUCUAAUAUUAUAUGUGGAUGACAUAUUGUUCAUUGGAAAUAAUACAGAAUUUCUGGAUAGCAUAAAAGGAUACUUGAAUAAGAAUUUUUCAAUGAAAGACAUCAGUGAAGUUGCUUACACAUUGAGCAUCAAGAUCUGUAGAGAUAGAUCAAGACGCUUGAUUUUUUUUCAAUGAGUACAUACCUUGACAAGAUUUUGAAGUAGUUCAAAAUGGAACGGUCAAGGAAGAAGUUCUUGCCUGAGUUGUAAGGUAUGAAGCUGAGUAAAGACUCAAAACCCGACCACGGCAGAAAAUAGAAAGAGAAUGAAAAGUCAUUCCCUAUGCCACUGUCAUAGGUUCUAUAAAGUAUGCUAUGCUAUGUACCAGACAUAUUGUGUACCUCACCAUGAGUUUGGCAAGAGGGUACAAUAGUGAUCCAGGAGUGGAUCACUGGACAGCGGUCAAAAUUAUCCUUAGUGGAAUAAGGACAUGUUUCUCGGUUAUGGAGGUGACAAAAAGUUUGUCGUAAAGGGUUACGUCGAUGCAAGCUUUAACCACUGGUACAACAACGCCCUAAACAAACGGUUUAAAACCCCUUUCCGCGAUGGCAUUUGGAACCAUCGCCAAGUGAGUGUGGGCGAUAGGGGGGUCCUUCCCACACGACCCAGAAAUCGUCAGGGAUAGGCCCUCGUGGGACCGAGGCUGGGGCCGUGUGCGAUCGGGCGAGGCAUGGAAACCCAAUCAUUUCCGUAGGUAUGUAUAUCCCACACGGUGAAUCCCAGAAAUCAUUUCCGUAGGUAUGUACAUCCCACACGGUGAAUCCCCGAAAUCAUUUCCGUAGGUAUGUACAUCCCACAUGGUGAAUCCCAUAAAUCAUUUCCGUAGAUAUGUUCAUCCCACACGGUGAAUCCCAGAAAUCAUUUCCGUAGGUAUGUACAUCCCACAUGGUGAAUCCCAGAAAAUCAUUUCCGUAGGUAUGUACAUCCCACACGGUUCUUUGUGUGGAAACGUGUGUGCAAGGUGGCCUAACGCAAACAGUUCGCUGCCGGAAGCCGUGUGUGAUUGUUAGUUGAUCGAACACACCUACUUUCUAGAAACCGUGCGGGUUGUUUGAGUUCAUCGCCCACGGUGCUGUCUGAGUAACCGUUUGCAAUAGAAAACCCCAAUAAGCAGGGUAAUUAGCCUAUUAUUGAUAAUCCAUGUACUAAUCAAACUGAUAUUUCUCAUAAAAUACGCCAGAUACUUCAUAUCUGUAUAAAAGCAACCAUGAUUUCAUAAUCGAAUUACAUCAGAUAGCUUCGGCACUCAGUUACACCAUUACACAACAGCACCAAGUUUCACAUGCAGCAUCAAAAACCUUUGGAAAGUAGCAUCAUACACGAUAAAUAGACAGAUGAAUCUCAUCUGGGAAACAGCAGAAGCGGAAGGCAAAUAUUGAGCCUUCAGAGAUGUUGAAUGUCCUUGCAACUUUAGGCCAGUGGCUAUGGAUAAUUGCCUGCCCAACCUUCGUCCUCUUUAGCAAGACUUCAAUAUUGUACGGUGGGUGUUGAAUGAAUACCUUCCUCGCCUCUUGACCAUGCAGGUGGUUUGAGAGGUAAUCAUCGGUGAACUGCUUUGAAAAGUACUAAAAACAAAGCUAUGCAUAAAUCGCUGUUGUAAAUUUUGAAAUGGCGCAAGGGGUAAAAAUAAGGUAAAAGAGUUGGUACCAUCCUAUAGUUGACUGAUGUCUUCUUCAUUGUGCAAACAAAGAUCGUGCUGUUAUUCGUCGCAAGUUUCUUCAUCCUAACAAUCUUUCUGAGUUUCCUGACUUGACUGAUAUUCAUGGACAUCUCAUUUCCCCAUAUGCAAAAUGGGUCGAAUAGUGGGUCUAAGCCUCUGACAACAGGACUUACAUGUGCAAGACCAAAUUGUAAGAAACCUAAAUAUUAGAAUGAUUCCUGCAACUGCACAAUAAUGUGCGAUUAGCCAAAGGACCCUGCUUGAACAAACCUCGAUGGUAAACCAUAGUGUCUCCCAUUGUUUCCCUGCAACACACAUAAGGAAGAUCUUGAUCAGGUUAACUGAGAGUUGCCAUACUAUCAGUAGAAUAUGUAUUGAGUACAGCCAAAUUCGAUUGGUGUCACAUGCAUAACAAUACAAAAUUGUACCCACAACAAAAGAAAAUCAAAUUGCAGAACUGAACCAAAUAGUUAAAUGGACAGCAGACCAAAUGAACCAAAAUAGUUAACUGAGCACGACAUUGCAGAAUAGAAACAUGUACUAGAAGAUAAGACAGUUAACAAAACAAAGAAUGCUUGAGAACAGUACUAUGAAAUGUAGCAAUUGUUGGACCAAAGUGUUAACUGAACAUUGCAUUUCAGAGGACCAAACUGUUAACUGAACAUCAGAUUGCAUAUUAACAUUACAAAGGACAAAUCACUAGAAGGCACUGGCCGUGGCCUCGAGAAAACAUCACGAACUGUAUUUUAAAGUAGACAAGUGGCGGUCUCGAUGGUGGCCUCGAAGACGAGGUGCUCCUCCAAGAUCUGGCGAUCGACACGCAUGUCAGCCAUAGCGACCUCGUUCGCGCGUGCGGCCGCAUGCUACUCAGCUCCAUGUUAUACUGCAUGUAAAAUGGCUGUGGGUGGCGCUUAAUUGGAGGAGGGGGCAGUGAUUUCGGUGGAAGGUGUCGCUCCGUCAGUCGAGGCAUGUGGGACGGGAAAGGAGGAGGAUGGUGUGGGUGGGGUGUGGAUUACCUGACCAUAUCGACGAGGCCGCGCAGCAAGAAGAAGGGUCGGCGGCGAGGAGGCCGCACAGCAAGAAGAAGGGUCGCCCGUGAGGAGGCGGCGAUGCAAGAAGGGUCGCCGGCGAGGAGGUGGCGCUGCAAGAAGAAGGGUAGCCGGGGAGGAGGCGGCGCUGCAAGAAGAAGGGUCGCCGGUGAGGAGGCUGAGCUGCCAGUAAGCAGCAGUGAAGGUUUGAACUCGGAAAGCAAGGAGGAACAGUGGAAAUGUGGCUUUUGGUAGGAGGGAGGGGGCGGGGAGAUAGAUAUUUGCGCGGUGGCAAAAAAAAUUCGCUUGAUGCCGUUAGAAACUGGCGCGCAAGUGUGGUUCAAGCGGGGGCGGUGGACUGUAGACGAGAAGCUUCCUGCGUAAGCCAGACAAGACGAUGCGCCAAGAUAUUUUAUAUCGCAUCCCACACGGUUCUUUCUAGUAAACUAUUUGUGGUAUACCUGAUUUUUUCAUUAUGUUUUGAAAGACAAAAUGGUGUUACGGAGGGAAAGGAUGGUGUUUGAAUUGCUAGAACAUUUACGUACAGUGAACAUGCAACUAGUACAUGAGUGUCGUGUUUAAAUUAGGAAUUAUUCCGGGUUCGUUUGGCAUUUUUAUGCAUUAAUUGAGUUUUUGGGCAUUUAAUGUGCAUAAUUCAAAUUUGACCUACAAGCACAUGCUCCAAUGCACCAAAGUUUGCUGGAAAAUCACAUGUGUGUCUUUGGGUGAAUUUAUAGGUCCCAUGCAAGAAAUGAGAAUAAAAUUCAAACAUCUGGGUGUCGUGGCUCAGCCGGAAUGAUUGAGAAACUUGGUUUUUAAUUCCUGUAAAUCCAAAACACGGCUGAAAAUCAUGAAACUUGGCAUGGUGUCAUGACAUGGCACCAACAUGCUGCAGUAAGUUUUUUGGCCGAAUUGGGACAAGCUUUACUGUAAGCUUCUUGCAAACCGGAGCUUCCCUCAAGAAGGCUCCUGGUUCCGAGAGGGAACGUGUCACCUCCGUGUGCGAAAUGACAUACAUACACUGCCUUUUCCCGCCUUAAUUUUUUUACAUGGGCAGAUUCGACCAAAUAGAAGUAUCGUGCUAAAAUUUGGAAUUAUUCCAUGUUCGUUUGGCCUUUUUAUACAUUAAUUGAGUGUCUGGGCAUUUAAUGCGCAUAAUUCAAAUUUGAACUACAAGCACGUGCUCUAGUGCACCACAGUUGUUUGAAAAAUCACAUGUGUCUCCUUGGGUGAAUUUCUAGGUCCCAUCCAAGAAAUGGGAAUAAAAUUCAAAUAUCUAGGUGUCGUGGCUCAGCCGGAAUGAUUAAUAAACUUGGUUUUUCAAUUCCUGUAAAUCCAAAACACGGCUGAAAAUCAUGAAACUUGGCAUGGUGUCAUGACAUGGCACCAACAUGCUGCAGUAAAAAUUUUGGCCGAAUUGGGACAAGAUUUGGUGUAAGCUUCUUGCAAACCAGAGCUUCCCUCAAGAAGGCUACUGGUUCCGAGAGGGAACGUGUCACCUCCCUGUGCAAAACGACAUACGUACACUGCCUUCUCCCGCCUUAAAUUUUUUACACAGGCAGAUUAGACCAAAUAGAAGUAUCGUGCUAAAUUUUGGAAUUAUUACAUGUUCGUUUGGCCUUUUUAUACAUUAAUUGAGUUUCUGGGCAUUUAAUGUGCAUAAUUCAAAUUUGAACUACAAGCACAUGCUCCAGUGCACCAAAGUUCUUUGCAAAAUCACAUGUGUGUCCUUGGGUGAAUUUCUAGGUCCCAUGCAAGAGAUGGGAGUGAAAUUCAAACAUCUGGGCGUCGUGGCUCGACCGGAAAGAUUGAGAAACUUGGUUUUUUAAUUCCUGUAAUUCCAAAACACGCGUGAAAAUCAUGAAACUUGGCAUGGUCUCAUUACAUGGCACCAACAUGCCGCGGUAAUUUUUUUGGCCGAAUUGGGACAAGCUUUGGUGUAGGCUUCUUGCAAACCGGAGCUUCCCUCAAGAAGGCUCGUGGUUCCGAGAGGGAACGUGUCACCUCCGUGUGCGAAACGACAUACGUACACUGUCUUGUCCUGCCUUAAUUUUUUUACACAACCAGAUCAGACCAAAUAGAAGUACCGUGCUAAAUUUUGGAAUUAUUCCGGGUUCGUUUGGCCUUUUUUAUACAUUAAUUGAGUUUCUGGGCAUUUAAUGUGCAUAAUUCAAAUUUGAACUACAAGCACAGGCUCCAGUGCACCAAAGUUGUUUGAAAAAUCAGAUGUGUGUCCUUGGGUGAAUUUCUAGGUCCCAUGCAAGAGAUGGGAGUGAAAUUCAAACAUCUGGGCGUCGUGGCUCGGCCGGAAAGAUUGAGAAAAUUGGUUUUUUUAAUUCGUGUAACUCCAAAACACGCCUGAAGAUCAUGAAACUUGGCAUGGUCUCAUGACAUGGCACCAACAUGCUGCGGUAAUUUUUCUGGCCGAAUUGGGACAACCUUGGUGUAAGCUUCUUGCGAACCGGAGCUUCCCUCAAGAAGGCUCGUGGUUCCUAGAGGGAACGUGUCACCUCCGUGUGCGAAACGACAUAUGUACACUGCCUUCUCCCACUUUAAUUUUUUUACACAGCCAGAUUAGACCAAAUAGAAGUACCGUGCUAAAUUUUGGAAUUAUUUCAGGCUCGUUUCGCCUUUUUUAUACAUUAAUUGAGUUUCUGGGCUUUUAAUGUGCAUAAUUCAAAUUUGAACUACAAGCACAGGCUCAAGGGCACCAAAGCUGUUUGAAAAAUCACAUGUGUGUCCUUGGGUCAAUUUCUAUGUCCCAUGCAAGAGAUGGGAGUGAAAUUCAAACAUCUGGGCGUCGUGGCUCGGCCGAAAAGAUUGAGAAACUUGGUUCUUUAAUUCCUAUAUUUCCAAAACACGCCUGAAAAUCAUGAGACUUGGCAUGGUGUCAUGACAUGGCACGAACAUGCUGCGGUAAUUUUUUUGGCCGAAUUGGGACAAGCUUUGGUGUAAGCUUCUUGCAAACCGGAGCUUCCCUCAAGAAGGCUCGUGGUUCCGAGAGGGAACGUGUCACCUCCGUGUGCGAAACGACAUACGUACACUGCCUUCUCCCGCCUUAAUUUUUUUGCACAUCCAGAUUAGACCAAAUAGAAGUACCGUGCUAAAUUUUGGAAUCAUUUCAGGCUCGUUUCGCCUUUUUAUACAUUAAUUGAGUUUCUGGGCAUUUAAUGUGCAUAAUUCAAAUUUGAACUACAAGCACAUGCUCCAGUGCACCAAAGUUAUUUGAAAAAUCAAAUGUGUCUCCUUCGGUGAAUUUCUAGGUCCCAUGCAAGAGAUGGGAGUGAAAUUCAAAUAUCUGGGCAUCGUGGCUCGGCCGGAAAGGUUGACGAAUUGGGACAAGCUUUGGUGUAAGCUUCUUGCAAACCGGAGCUUCCCUCAAGAAGGCUCGUGGUUCCGAGAGGGAACGUGUCACCUCCGUGUGCAAAACGACAUACGUACACUACCUUCUCCCGCCUUAUUUUUUUACACAGCCAGAUUAGACCAAAUAGAAGUACCGUGCUAAAUUUUGAAUUACUUCGGGCUCGUUUCGCCUUUUUUAUACAUUAAUUGAGUUUCUGGGCAUUUAAUCUGUAUAAUUCAAAUUUAAACUACAAGCACAUGCUCCAGUGCACCAAGUUGUUUGAAAAAUCACAUGUGUGUCCUUGGGUGAAAUUCUAGGUCCCAUGCAAGAGAUGGGAGUGAAAUUCAAACAUCUGGGCGUCGUGGCUCGGCCGGAAAGAUUGAGAAACUUGGUUUUUUAAUUCCUGUAAUUCUAAAACAUGCCUGAAAAUGAUGAAACUUGGUAUGGUGUCAUGACAUAGCACCAACAUGAUGCGGUAAUAUUUUUGGCCGAACUGGGACAAGCUUUGGUGUAAGCUUCUUGCAAACCGGAGCUUCCCUCAAGAAGGCUCGUGGUUCCGAGAGGGAACGUGUCACCUCCGUGUGCGAAACGACAUACGUACACUGCCUUCUCCCGCCUUAUUUUUUUACACAGCCAGAUUAGACCAAAUAGAAGUACCGUGCUAAAUUUUGAAUUAUUUUGGGCUCGUUUCGCCUUUUUUAAACAUUAAUUGAGUUUCUGGGAAUUUAAUUUGCAUAAUUCAAAUUUGAACUACGAGCACAUGCUCCAGUGCACCAAAGUUGUUUGAAAAAUCACAUGUGUGUCCUUGGGUGAAAUUCUAGGUCCCAUGCAAGAGAUGGGAGUGAAAUUCAAACAUCUGGGCGUCGUGGCUUGGCCGAAAAGAUUGAGAAACUUGGUUAUUUAAUUCCUGUAAUUCCAAAACACGCGUGAAAAUCAUGAAACUUGGCAUGGUGUCAUGACAUGGCACCAACAUGCUGCGCUAAUAUUUUUGGCCGAAUUGGGACAAGCUUUGGUGUAAGCUUCUUGCAAACCGGAGCUUCCCUCAAGAAGGCUCGUGGUUCCGAGAGGGAACGUGUCACCUCCGUGUGCAAAACGACAUAUGUACACUACCUUCUCCCGCCUUAUUUUUUUACACAGCCAGAUUAGACCAAAUAGAAGUACCGUGCUAAAUUUUGAAUUAUUUCGGGCUCGUUUCGCCUUUUUUAUACAUUAAUUGAGUUUCUGGGCAUUUAAUCUGUAUAAUUCAAAUUUAAACUACAAGCACAUGCUCGAGUGCACCAAGUUGUUUGAAAAAUCACAUGUGUGUCCUUGGGUGAAAUUCUAGGUCCCAUGCAAGAGAUGGGAGUGAAAUUCAAACAUCUGGGCGUCGUGGCUCGGCCGGAAAGAUUGAGAAACUUGGUUUUUUAAUUCCUGUAAUUCUAAAACACGCCUGAAAAUGAUGAAACUUGGUAUGGUGUCAUGUCAUAGCACCAACAUGAUGCGGUAAUAUUUUUGGCCGAACUGGGACAAGCUUUGGUGUAAGCUUCUUGCAAACCGGAGCUUCCCUCAAGAAGGCUCGUGGUUCCGAGAGGGAACGUGUCACCUCCGUGUGUGAAACGGCAUACGUACACUGCCUUCUCCCGCCUUAUUUUUUUACACAGCCAGAUUAGACCAAAUAGUAGGACCGUGCUAAAUUUUUGGAAUUAUUCCGGGCUCGUUUCGCCUUUUUUAACAUUAAUUGAGUUUCUGGGCAUUUAAUGUGCAUAAUUCAAAUUUGAACUACAAGCACAGGCUCCAGUGCACCAAAGUUGUUUGAAAAAUCACAUGUGUGUCCUUAGGUGAAUUUCUAGGUCCCAUGCAAGAGAUGGGAGUGAAAUUCAAACAUCUGGGCGUCGUGGCUCGGCCGGAAAGAUUGAGAAACUUGGUUUUUUAAUUCCUGUAAUUCCAAAACACGCGUGAAAAUCAUGAAACUUGGCAUGGUCUCAUGACAUGGCACCAACAUGUUGUGAUAAUUUUUCUGUCUGAUUUGUGAGGGCCCACACAUUAACAAUCAACAAAGUCAUUUUGGAACAAGUGCUGUCACGUUACAAAUCGGAAACACAAGUAUUAUUGAAACCGUGGGUGUUCGACUUACCAAUUACGUGCGGCCAUGCGCCCCCUUUUUUUAUUGGCUAGGAGGUGUCAUGCGGGGUAGCUAUUUGAGUACGGGAGGCGCGCGAUUGCUACCUCUUGAGCACUGCGUUGGUUUUCCCUUGAAGGGGAAAGGGUGAUGUAGUAAAGUAGCAUAAGUAUUUCCCUCAGUUGUUGAGAACCAAGGUAUCAAUUAAGUAGGAGACUACGCUCGAGUCCCACGCACCUACACAAACAAAUAAGAACCUCACAACCAACGUGAUAAAGGGGUUGUCAAUCCCUUCACGGUCACUUACGAGAGUGAGAUCUGAUAGAGAUGAUAAGAUAAUAUUUUUGGUAUUUUUAUGGUAAAGAGUAAAAGUAAAGAAAGCAAAAUAAACGGAGAUAGAAAUAGCUUGUUGACGGGAGAUUAAUAUGAUGGAAAAUAGACCCGGGGGCCAUAGGUUUCACUAGUGGCUUCUCUCAAGAUAGCAUAAGUAUUACAGUGGGUAAACGAAUUACUGUCGAGCAAUUGAUAGAAUUGAGCAUAGUUAUGAGAAUAUCUAGGUAUGAUCAUGUAUAUAGGCAUCACGUCCGUGACAAGUAGACCGACUCCUGCCUGCAUCUACUACUAUUACUCCACACAUCGACCGCUAUCCAGCAUGCAUCUAGAGUAUUAAGUUCAUAAGAACACACGUCCGUGACAAGUAGACCGACUCCUGCCUGCAUCUACUACUAUUACUCCACACAUCGACCGCUAUCCAGCAUGCAUCUAGAGUAUUAAGUUCAUAAGAACAGAGUAACGCUUUAAGCAAGAUGGCAUGAUGUAGAGGGAUAAACUCAUGCAAUAUGAUAAAAACCCCAUCUUUUUAUCCUCGAUGACAACAGUACAGUACGUGUCGUUUCCCCUGCUGUCACUGGGAUCGAGCACCGCAAGAUUGAACCCAAAGCUAAGCACUUCUCACAUUGCAAGAAAGAUCAAUCUAGUAGGCCAAACCAAACUGAUAAUUCAAAGAGACUUGCAAAGAUAACCAAUCAUACAUAAAAGAAUUCAGAGGAGAUUCAAAUAUUGUUCAUAGAUAAUCUUGAUCAUAAACCCACAAUUCAUCGGAUCUCGACAAACACACCGCAAAAGAAGAGUUACAUCAAAUAGAUCUCCAAGGGAAUCGAGGAGAACUUUGUAUUGAGAUCCAAAGAGAGAGAAUAAGCCAUCUAGCUAAUAACUAUGGACCCGAAGGUCUGAGGUAAACUACUCACACAUCAUCGGAGAGGCUAUGGUGUUGAUGUAGAAGCCCUCUGUGAUCAAUGCCCCCUGCGGCGGAGCGCCGGAAAAGGCCCCAAGAUGGGAUCUCAUGGGUACAAAAGGUUUCGGCGGUGGAAAUAGGGUUUUGGCUCCUCUUCUGAUAGUUUGGGGGUACGUAGGUAUAUAUAGGAGGAAGAAGUAGGUCGGUGGAGCUACGAGGGGCCCAUGAGGAUGGAGGUCGCGCCCAGAGGGGUAGGCGCGCCCCCUGCCUCGUGGCCUCCUCAUUCGUUUCUUGACGUCCACUCCAAGUCCUCUAGAUCAUGUUUGUUCCAAAAAUCACGUUCCCGAAGGUUUCAUUCCGUUUGGACUCCGUUUGAUAUUCCUUUCCUUCGAAACACUGAAAUAGGCAAAAAAACAGCAAUUUGGGCUGGGCCUCCGGUUAAUAGGUUAGUCCCAAAAAUAAUAUAAAAGUGUAUAAUAAAGCCCAUUAAACAUCCAAAACAUAAUAUAUAAUAGCAUGGAACAAUCAAAAAUUAUAGAUACGUUGGAGACGUAUCAAGCAUCCCCAAGCUUCAUUCCUGCUCGUCCUCGAGUAGGUAAAUGAUAAAAACAGAAUUUUUGAUGUGGAAUGCUACUUAGCAUAAUUUUCAAUGAAAUUCUCUUAUUUGUGGUAUGAAUAUUCAGAUCCGAAAUAUUCAAAAUAAAAGUUUAAUAUUGACAUAAAAGUAAUGAUACUUCAAGCAUACUAAUAAAGCAAUCAUGUCUUCUCAAAAUAACAUGUCCAAAGAAAGUUAUCCCUACAAAAUCAUAUAGUCUGGCUAUGCUCUAUCUUCACCACACAAAAUAUUUAAAUCAUGCACAACCCCGAUGACAAGCCAAGCAAUUGUUUCAUACUUUUGGUGUUCUCAAACUUUUUCAAUCUUCAGGCAAUACAUGAGCGCGAGCCAUGGAUAUAGCACUAUAGGUGGAAUAGAAUGGUGGUUGUGGAGAAGACAAAAAGGAGAAGAUAGUCUCACAUCAACUAGGCGUAUCAACGGGCUAUGGAGAUGCCCAUUAAUAGAUAUUAAUGUGAGUGAGUAGGGAUUGCCAUGCAACGGAUGCACUAGAGCUAUAAGUGUAUGAAAGCUCAACAAUGAAAACUAAGUGGGUGUGCAUCCAACUUGCUUGCUCACGAAGACCUAGGGCAAUUUGAGGAAGCCCAUCAUUGGAAUAUACAAGCCAAGUUCUAUAAUGAAAAAUUCCCACUAGUAUAUGAAAGUGACAAAACAAGAGACUCUCUAUCGUAAAGAUCAUGGUGCUACUUUGAAGCACAAGUGUGGAAAAAGGAUAGUAGCAUUGUCCCUUCUCUCUUUUCUCUCAUUUUUUUGUUGGGCCUUUUCUCUCCUUUUUUAUGGCCUCUUUUUUUUAUUUAGUCCGGAGUCUCAUCCUGGCUUGUGGGGGAAUCAUAGUCUCCAUCAUCCUUUCCUCACUUGGGACAAUGCUCUAAUAAUGAUGAUCAUGACACUUUUAUUUACUUACAACUCAAUACUUAGAAAAAAAUAUGACUCUAUAUGAAUGCCUCCGGCGGUGUACCGCGAUAUGCAAUGAAUCAAGAGUGACAUGUAUGAAGAUAAUGAACGGUGGCUUUGCCACAAAUACGAUGUCAACUAUAUGAUCAUGCAAAGCAAUAUGACAAUGAUGGAACAUGUCAUAGUAAACGGAACGGUGGUAAGCUGCAUGGCAAUAUAUCUCAGAAUGGCUAUGGAAAUGCCAUGAUAGGUAGGUAUGGUGGCUGUUUUGAGGAAGGUAUAUGGUGGCUGUAUGAUACCGGCGAAAAGUGCGCGGUAUUAGAGAGGCUAGCAAUGGUGGAAGGAUAAGAGUGCAUAUAAUCCAUGGACUCAACAUUAGUCAUAAAGAACUCAUAUACUUGUUGCAAAAAUCUAUUAGUUAUCAAAAGAAAGUAUUACGCGCAUGCUCCUAGGGGGAUAGAUUGGUAGGAAAAGACCAUCGCUCGUCCCCGACCGCCACUCAUAAGGAAGACAAUCAAUAAAUAAAUCAUGCCCCGACUUCAUCACAUAACGGUUCACCAUACGUGCAUGCUACGGGAAUCACAAACUUUAACACAAGUAUUUCUCAAAUUCAUGAACACUCAACUAGCAUGACUCUAAUAUCACCAUCUUCAUAUCUCAAAACAAUUAUCAAGUAUCAAACUUCUCUUAGUAUCGCACCUAUAAAAAAGUUUUUUACUAAUCUUGGAUGCUUAUCAUAUUAGGACUAAUUUCACAAUUAAAACCAUGCUGUUUUGUAGGACUCUCAAAAUGAUAUAAGUGAAGCAUGAGAGAACAAUAGUUUCUAUAAAACAAGCCACCGCCGUGCUCUAAAAGAUAUAAGUGAAGCACUAGAGCAAAAACUAUAUAGCUCAAAAGAUAUAAGUGAAGCACAUAGAGUAUUCUAAUAAAUUCCGAAUCAUGUGUGUCUCUCUCAAAAGUGUGUUCAGCGAGGAAGAUUGUGGUAAACUAAAAAUAAAUACUCAAAUCAUACAAGACGCUCUAAGCAAAACACUUAUCAUGUGGUGAAUAAAAAUAUAGCUCCAAGUAAAGUUACCGAUGGACAAAGACGAAAGAGAGGAUGCCUUUCGGGGCAUCCCCAAGAUUUGGCUUUUUGAUGUCCUUAGAUUUACCUUGGGGUGCCUUGGGCAUCCCCAAGCUUAGGCUCUUGCCACUCCUUGUUUCAUAAUCCAUCAAAUCUUUACCCAAAACUUGAAAACUUCACAACACAAAACUUAACAGAAAAUCUCGUGAGCUCCGUUAGUGAAAGAAAACAAAACACCACUUCAAGGUACUGUAUUGAACUCAUUCUUUAUUUAUAUUGGUGUUAAACUUACUGUAUUCCAACUUCUCUAUGGUUUAUAAACUAUUUUACUAGCCAUAGAUUCAUCAAAAUAAGCAAACAACACACGAAAAACAGAAUCUGUCAAAAACAGAAUAGUCUGUAGUAAUCUGUAACUAACGCAAAAUUCUGGAACUCUAAAAAUUCUACCAAAAUAGGAAGAAAUAAAUAAUUUGUUUAUUUAUCUGCUGCAAUUGGAAUCAUUGUUAUAUCACGUUCUGGUAAUUUUUAACAAUUGUUUUCGUGAACAGAAAGUUUCUGGAAUUUUCAGCAAGAUCAAAUAACUAUCAUCCAAGAAGAUCCUAUAGGGUUAACUUGGCACAAACACUAAUUAAAACACAAAAACAAAUCUAACCAGAGGCUAGAUCAAAGAUUUAUUCCUAAACAGGAGCAAAAAACAAAAAAUAAAAUAAAAUUGGGUUGCCUUCCAACAAGCGCUAUCGUUUAACGCCCUUAGCUAGUCAUAAAAACAAUGGUAGGCAAUCCAUAAGUGGCUCUCAUAAUAGAUUCAUAAGGUAAUUUUAUUUUCUUUCUAGGGAAGUGUUCCAUGCCUUUCCUUAACGGAAAUUGGAAUCUAAUAUUCCCUUCCUUCAUAUCAAUAAUUGCACCAAUCGUUCUAAGGAAAGGUCUACCAAGAAUAAUAGGACAUGAAGGAUUGCAAUCUAUAUCAAGAACAAUGAAAUCUACGGGCACAUAGUUCCUAUUUGCAACAAUAAGAACAUCAUUAAUUCUUCCCAUAGGUUUCUUAAUACUGGAAUCCGCAAGGUGCAAGUUUAGAGAACAAUCAUCAAAUUCGCGGAAACCUAGGAAAUCACACAAAGUUUUUGGAAUCGUGGAAACACUAGCACCCAAAUCACAUAAAGCAUAGCAUUCAUGAUCCUUAAUUUUAAUUUUAAUAGUAGGUUCCCACUCAUCACAAAGUUUUCUAGGGAUAGGGACUUUCAACUCAAGUUUUUCUACAUAAGAUUGCAUCAAAGCAUCAACGAUAUGUUUGGUAAAAGCUUUAUUUUGACUAUAAGCAUGGGGAGAAUUUAGCACGGAUUGCAACAAGGAAAUGCAAUCUAUCAAAGAGCAAUUAUCAUAAUUAAAUUCCUUGAAAUCCAAAAUAGUGGGUUCGUUGAUAUCUAAAGUUUUGACCUCUUCAAUCCCACUUUUACCAAUUUUUGCAUCAAGAUCUAAAAACUCUGAAUUUUUGGGACGCCUUCUAACUAAAGUUGACUCAUCUAGAGUCCCAUCAUUAUCAAGAUUCAUAUUGCAAAACAAAUAUUUAAUAGGAGAUACAUCAAGAACUUUUAGAUCUUCAUCUUUAUUCUCAUAAAAACUAGAAGAACAUGCUUUCACAAAGCAAUCUUUCUUAGCACGCAUCCUAGCGGUUCUUUCUGUGCACUCAUCAAUGGAAAUUCUCAUGGCUUUGAAUUACUCAUUGAUACCAUGCUUAGGUGGAGUAGAUCUAAGUUUCAAAGAAUCAACAUCAAGAGAAAUUCUAUCCACGUUCCUAGCCAAUUCAUCAAUCUUAGGCAAUUUUUCUUCAAGCAAAGCAUUGAAAUUCUUUUGGGAAAUCAUAAAUUCUUUAACACUAGUCUCAAAAUCAGAGGGCAUCUUAUUAAAAUUUCCAUAAGAGUUGUUGUAGGAAUUACCAUAAUUAUUAGAGGAAUUACUAGGAUACGGCCUAGGAUUAAAGUUUCCUCUAUAAGCGUUGUUACCAAAAUUGUUCCUACCAACAAAGUUCACACCCAUAGAUUCAUUAUUAUUCUCAAUCAAGGUAGACAAAGGCAUAUCAUUAGGGUCGGAAGAAACACUCUUAUUAGCAAAUAAUUUCAUAAGUUCAUCCAUCUUUCCACUCAAGACAUUAAUUUCUUCAAUCACAUGAACCUUUUUACUAGUAGAUCUUUCAGUGUGCCAUUGAGAAUAAUUAACCAUAAUAUUAUCUAGGAGUUUUUAGCUUCUCCUAACGUGAUUUCCAUAAAAGUGCCUCCCGCGGCCGAAUCUAAAAGAUUUCUAGAAGCAAAAUUCAAUCCGGCAUAAAUUUUUUGUAUAAUCAUCCACAAAUUCAAACCAUGAGUAGGGCAAUUACGUAUCAUUAAUUUCAUCCUCUCCCAAGCUUGUGCAACAUGUUCAUGAUUAAGUUGCUUAAAAUUCAUAAUAUCAUUUCUAAGAGAGAUGAUUUUAGCUGGAGGAAAAUACUUAGAGAUAAAAGGAUCUUUGCACUUAUUCCAAGAAUCAAUACUAUUUUUAGGCAAAGAUGAAAACCAAGUUUUAGCACGAUCUCUAAGCGAAAAAGGAAACAACUUCAAUUUAACAAUAUCAUUAUCCACAUCUUUAUUCUUUUGCAUAUCACACAAAUCAACAAAGCUAUUUAGAUGGGUAGCGGCAUCUUCACUAGGAAGGCCGGCGAAUUGAUCUUUCACGACAAGAUUCAGCAAAGCAGCAUUAAUUUCACAAGAUUCAGCAUCAGUAAGAGGAGCAAUCGGAGUGCUAAGAAAAUCAUUGUUGUUGGUAUUGGUAAAGUCACACAAUUUAGUAUUGUUUUGAGCCAUCGUGACAAACAAGCAAUCCAACACACAAGCAAACAAGAGGCAAGCGAAAAAGAGGCGAACGGAAAAAGAGGGCAAAUAAAACGGCAAGGGUGAAGUGGGGGAGAGGAAAACGAGAGGCAAAUGGCAAAUAAUGUAAUGCGAGGGAUAAGAGUUUGUGAUGGGUACUUGGUAUGUCUUGACUUGUGCGUAGACUCCCCGGCAACGGCGCCAGAAAUCCUUCUUGCUAUCUCUUGAGCACUGCGUUGGUUUUCCCUUGAAGAGGAAAGGGUGAUGCAGUAAAGUAGCGUAAGUAUUUCCCUCAGUUUUUGAGAACCAAGGUAUCAAUCCAGUAGGAGACUACGCUCGAGUCCCACGCACCUACACAAACAAAUAAGAACCUCGCAACCAACGCGAUAAAGGGGUUUUCAAUCCCUUCACGGUCACUUACGAGAGUGAGAUCUGAUAGAGAUGAUAAGAUAAUAUUUUUGGUAUUUUUAUGGUAAAGAGUAAAAGUAAAGAAAGCAAAAUAAACGGAGAUAGAAAUAGCUUGUUGACGGGAGAUUAAUAUGAUGGAAAAUAGACCUGGGGGCCAUAGGUUUCACUACUGGCUUCUCUCAAGAUAGCAUAAGUAUUACGGUGAGUAAACGAAUUACUGUCGAGCAAUUGAUAGAAUUGAGCAUAGUUAUGAGAAUAUCUAGGUAUGAUCAUGUAUAUAGGCAUCACGUCUGUGACAAGUAAACCGACUCCUGCCUGCAUCUACUACUAUUACUCCACAUAUCGACCGCUAUCCAGCAUGCAUCUAGAGUAUUAAGUUCAUAAGAAAAGAGUAAUCCUUUAAGCAAGAUGACAUGAUGUAGAGGGAUAAACUCAUGCAAUAUGAUAUAAACCCCAUAUUUUUAUCCUCGAUGGCAACAAUACAAUACGUGUCGUUUCCCCUGCUGUCACUGGGAUCGAGCACCGCAAGAUUGAACCCAAAGCUAAGCAUUUCUCCCAUUGCAAGAAAGAUCAAUCUAGUAGGCCAAACCAAACUGAUAAUUCGAAGAGACUUGCAAAGAUAACCAAUCAUACAUAAAAGAAUUCAGAGGAGAUUCAAAUAUUGUUCAUAGAUAAUCUUGAUCAUAAACCCACAAUUCAUCGGAUCUCAACAAACACACCGCAAAAGAAGAUUUACAUCAAAUAGAUCUCCAAGAGAAUCGAGGAGAACUUUGUAUUGAGAUCCAAAGAGAGAGAAGAAGCCAUCUAGCUAAUAACUAUGGACCCGAAGUUCUGAGUUAAACUACUCACACAUCAUCGGAGAGGCUAUGGCGUUGAUGUAGAAGCCCUCCGUGAUCAAUGCCCCCUCCGGCGGAGCGCCGGAAAAGGCCCCAAGAUGGGAUCUCACGGGUACAGAAGGUUUCGGCGGUGGAAAUAGGGUUUUGGCUCCUCUUCUGAUGAUUUGGGGGUACAUAGGUAUAUAUAGGAGGAAGAAGUAGGUCGGUGGAGCUACGAGGGGCCCACGAGGGUGGAGGGCACGCCCAGGGGGGUAGGCGCGCCCUCCUGCCUCGUGGCCUCCUCGUUCGUUUCUUGACGUCCACUCCAAGUCCUCUAGAUCACGUUUGUUCCAAAAAUCAUGUUCCUGAAGGUUUCAUUCCGUUUGGACUGCGUUUGAUAUUCCUUUCCUUCGAAACACUGAAAUAGGCAAAAAACAGCAAUUUGGGCUGGGCCUCCGGUUAAUAGGUUAGUCCCAAAAAUAAUAUAAAAGUGUAUAAUAAAGCCCAUUAAAUAUCCAAAACAGAAUAUAUAAUAGCAUGGAACAAUCAAAAAUUAUAGAUACGUUGGAGACGUAUCGGCGAUCAGACCCCUGCGCGUGCUCAUCGGGAGGAGAGCCCUUUGACCGCUACCCGCUGCGCACCUCCCUCCCAACGUCUCCAUUAAUGGCGCCCGAGCACCUGUUCUACGACAUGGCUAUAUGUCUCACUGGACUGAGGUUUAAGAGAGAAAAAUGAAAAUCUGAAAAGAAAGUUUUGCACGGAUCUUGAUGUAAGAUCCGACGGACAUAUAUAGCAUCUACUGCGACUUAUAACAAGCAUGAUGAAUAUAAGGGCGAUGACAGUGGAUAAUAAUUGUCUUACAUAUUUAGAAACAUAAUUAAAAAAGCCACAUGCGGCAACGCCCGAAAUACACAAGGGCAAAAGAAGAAGGAAGACAACUAUCUGGCUCGCUGAUCUGUACUUUCUUGAUGCGUUGCUGCAGGCCGCGGGAACUAGUCUCCGCGGUGAGCGGCGACGAGCUCUUUCUUGUCCUCAAGAUGCUGCUUGAGAGCAUCCACGGAUUCCUCCAGCAGCCUUCUACGCUUGAUGCACAGCUUGUUAUUCUCGUCCAUAAGGUUCUUGACGAUGACGCCGGUCCUCUUCAACAAGGCAGUGGUCUGCUCCUGCUGCUCCGCACUUCCGAUGAUCUUCGCCCUCAGCAGGUCGCGCUCGGUCUGGAGCUUCAUAUUGCUGUCAUUUAGUUGCCGGAUGACGUCGGCAGACUGUUCAAACGAGGCUUGCAAGUCAUCCUCCAACCUCGCCCACCUGGAGAUCUGAUCCAUCUGCCUAUGGACGAGGGCACGCAUGCGCCUGUAAGAGUCCUUGCCUCCCCACGAGGCAUUUUCCCAGGCUGCCGCGGCAAGGGAGGACAUCUCUGCUGCAUUCGCGGUGCGGUGGGACAUCUCUUCUACUUCCGUGGCGCGGCCGGACCAGUCUGCUUCAUGGACAGCACGGCGGGUCCUCCGUGCUGCUUUAGCGGCGCGGCGGGACCUCUCUGCUGCUACGGCCGUGCGACAGGACAUGUUGGCUGCUAUCGCGGCGAGGCGGGACAUCUCUCGUGCUCCCGCUUCCAGGCUCGCCUCUCCCUGGUCGCAAUCUCUCGACCCAGAACUCACGCUGGCCAUGAUGGACGCAAGGGAACGAUGAUGAAUGACUUGUUUGUUUUUGACUUUUUGUGGAUGAGGCGUUGAGGAGGAAUGUGCAGUCAUCUUGGAGUAGUAGUAUUUAUAACCGCGUAGUAAUACGCUCCUAAGUGGGAAACCGUUUAGGUUUUGAUCGGUGUGAACAGGUUUGCAAUUUGGAAUGUGAUGGGACGCAUGCUCAAAAUUUACUGACGGUUAUAAGUGCGGCACUAUUCUCGGAAGGCGUAACAUGGGCACGUACGCCUUCUCGGUCGCGUACGUGGCGUUUGCACCAUAGGGUGCACCGCAAUAGGCAAUGUCAGCACACGUCUUUUAAUUAGAAUGGGUGUGCCCGUCUAGCGCACACACAUUGAUCUAUCUAACUAUUUCAGUUUGUUGUGGCUAAUCACAAACAGUUCAUCCAUGUGAAGUGUAUGCCAUCAAUCGCAGACACUUUGAUAUGGCUUACCCGUUUCUGCUUUGUUGCCUAAUCGCAAACAGUUAAUCCUUCUGAAGCGUAUGCCCUCAAUGACACACACCUUGAUCUGGCUGGCCGUUUCUUUUGUGUUGCCUAAUCACAAACAGUUCAUCCGAGUGAACCGUAUGCUGUAUAUCACACACACCUUCAUCUGGCUGCCCGUUUCUUUUGUGUUGCCUAAUCACAAACAGUUCAUUCGAGUGAACCGUAUGCUCUAUGUCGCAGAUGCCUUCAUCAGGCUGCCCGUUUCUUUUGUUCCACCUCAUCGCAAACAGUUCAUUGGACUGAACCGUAUGCCUUGGAUCGCACACGCAACUAAAAUCCGAACCGUGUUUGAUGCAUCCUCCAUCGCAAACGUUUUCACCUUUUUUUGAUGGUUUUCAUACAGCACCGUUUGCGAUUAUGGCAUCGCACACAGUUUCUCGAAGGGUCUCUGAUCGUAGUGUCGCGUUAGCAGCAUCCUGCAGUAGUGAACACUGAUCCGGAUGACUCUAAAUCUCAAUAUGGAUACAUAUUGAAAGUGGGAGCGAUUAGCUAGAGUAGCUCCGUGCAUAGCAUUGUAGACAUAGAAAAUUUGUAAAAUACAUACGGCUCUGAAUGUGGCAAACCCGUUGACUAAACUUCUCUCACAAAGCAAAAUAUGAUCAUUCUUUGGGUGUUAAUCACAUAGCGAUGUGAACUAGAUUAUUGGCUCUAGUAAACCCUUUGGGUAUUAGUCACAUGGAUAUGUGAAUGACGAUGUGAACUAGAUUAUUGACUCUAGUGCAAGUGGGAGACUGAAGGAAAUAUGCCCUAGAGGCAAUAAUAAAGUUGUUAUUUAUAUUUCCUUAUAUCAUGAUAAAUGUUUAUUAUUCAUGCUAACAUUGUAUUAACCGAAAACUUAGUACAUGUGUGAAUACAUAGACAAAACCGAAUGUCCCUAGUAUGCCUCUACUUGACUAGCUCGUUAAUCAAAGAUGGUUAAGUUUCCUGACCAUAGACAUGUGUUUUCAUUUGAUGAACGGGAUCACAUCACUAGGAGAAUGAUCUGAUGGACAAGACCCAUCUGUUAGCUUAGCAUGUUGAUCGUUCAGUUUUAUUGCUAUUGCUUUCUUCAUGACUUAUACAUGUUCCUCUAACUAUGAGAUUAUGCAACUCCCGAAUACUGGAGGAACACCUUGUGGGAUAUCAAACGUCACAACGUAACUGGGUGAUUAUAAAGAUGCUCUACAGGUGUCUUCAAAGGUGUUUAUUGGGUUGGCAUAGAUCAAGAUUAGGAUUUGUCACUCCGAGUAUCGGAGAGGUAUCUCUGGGCCCUCUCAGUAAUGCACAUCAUAAGAAGCCUUGCAAGCAAAGUGACUAAUGGGUUAGUUGCGGGAUGAUGCAUUACGGAACGAGUAAAGAGGCUUUCCGGUAACGAGAUUGAACUAGGUAUGAUGAUACCGACGAUCGAAUCUCGGGCAAGUAACAUACCGAUGACAAAGGGAAUGACGUAUGUUGUUAUGUGGUUUGACCGAUAAAGAUCUUCGUAGAAUAUGUAGGAGCCAAUAUGAGCAUCCAAGUUCCGCUAUUGGUUAUUUACCGGAGAUGUGUCUCGGUCAUGUCUACAUAGUUCUCGAACCUGUAGGGUCCGCACGCUUAACGUUCGAUGAGGAUUUAUAUUAUGAGUUAUGUGAUUUGAUGACCGAAGUUUGUUCGAAGUCCCGGAUGAGAUCACGGACAUGACGAGGAGUCUCGAAAUGGUCGAGAGGUAAAGAUCAAUAUAUUGGAAGGCUAUAUUCGGACAUCGAAUGGUUCCGAGUGAUUCGGGUAUUUUUCGGAGUACCAGAGAGUUACGGGAAUUCGCCGGGGGAAGUUAAUGGGCCUUAUUGAGCUUUAGUGGAGAGAGGGAAGAAGGGCCACGAGGUGGCGCGCGCCUCCCCCUUCCCAAACCGAAUUGUACAAGGGGUGGGGGCACGGCCCCCCUUUCCUUCUCCCUCUCCCUCCUUUCCUUCUUUCCUACUCCGAAAAGGAAAGGGAAACCUACUAGGACUUGGGAGUCCUAGCAGGACUCCCUACACUUGGCGCGCCCCUAGGAGGGCCGGCCUCUCUCCCUCCCUCCUUUAUAUACGUGGGCAUGGGGCACCCCAAAGGCACACCAAGUCUUCUCGUAGCCGUGUGCGGUGCCCCCCUUCACAUUUACACACCUCGGUCAUAUCGUCGUAGUGCUUAGGGGAAGCCCUGUGCUGGUAACUUCAUCAUCACCGUUGCCAUGCUGUCGUGCUGACGGAACUCUCCCUCGGCCUCAACUGGAUCAAGAGCUCGAGGGAAGUCAUUGUGCUGAACGUGUGCUGAACACGGAGGUGCCGUACGUUUAGUACUUGGAUCGGUUGGAUCGCGAAGACGUUCGACUACAUCAACCGCAUUACUAAAAGCUUCCACUUUCGGUCUACGAGGGUACGUGGACACACUGUCCCGUCUCAUUGCUAUGCAUCUCCUAGAUAGAUCUUGCGUGAUCGUAGGUAAUUUUUUUGAAAUAUGGCGUUCCCCAUCACAUGCAUGACAGAAAACAUGACCUACUGUGACAAACACGUACCAUCACGAAAGUGUAUUUUUUUGUAGUGAUGAACAUCAAUGUUUGCACCAAUUUUCAAGCAUAGUUCAUCAUUUUGUGCUUCCUCAUAUUGGACUUUCCGCUCAAGGAUUUCAUAUUUUUCAUUUUCUUCGGUGACGAGGGUUUCGAGUUCCUUAAUGGUGAUGGUGUGCUUACUCACCAUCUCCAUAAGCAUACGAAACAUGUUGAGCUUCUUUCCUUUGAGGGAGCACAUGAACUUAUUUAGUUUAGCAAGCAUAGGAUCAUCUAUAUCAUCAUCAUAACUAUCCUCCGCAUCAAGAUACUCAUCACUAGGAGUAGAAGGAGUGAAAAGAGGAGGGUUUGAUCAUGGGGUUACCUUGACCUUGUCAGGAGAGUUUUGGUCCUCUCCAUCUUCUACCACGACAUUUGCCAUUAGGCACUUGUGAGCGUUGCCCUUGUAGUAUUUCAUAUAGUUGUAGGUGACAACAUCACCACUCUUGUUGACUAGCCUCAAGGUAUUUUGAGAAUCUUGAGCUACUCCGGCAACACCACUAACAUCAUCCGGAACGGAUUCUUCAUGAGCGACCAUUGCUUUCCCAUAUCUCUUCUUGAGCUUGGAGUUCAAAGGAUUUGGAAACUUCUUCUUGGUAAAGGUCUUGGGAAACCUUGGUUUAUCUUCUCUCUUCUCAUAAGGGCAAUCGUUGGAGAAGUGGUUGGUUUCUUCACAGCUGUAGCAUUUUCUCACUUUCUUCUUCUGGAAUCUUCCCUUGAAUUUUCCCGCGCUAAGCUUCUUGACAAAGAGGGAAAUGUCUUCAUAUGAAGGGCUCUCAUCAGAGUCAAUCUCAUCACCAUCUUCAUCCUCAUCAUCAUCAUCAUCUUCUUCUUCUUCACUUUGCUCUUCUUCAUAUACAUGACUGGCCUUCAAUGCAAGAUUGAUUUUUGAUGUUGAGGUACCAUGCAUGGCAAGAUGUUUUCUAGCAUUUGCCUUUGACUCUUGAAAUAGUUGGGAAGUGGAUAUGAUGUCAUCCGGAGUCAUUUACUUGAAUCCAUGGUGUUGUCUUAUGUCCCACACCAUUUGGUGAUGAUACAGAGCAAGAGCAUGAAGCAACUUGUCCACGAGAAAUCGCUUAGUCAAGUUGAAUCCAUCUUGUCUUGUCACAAUCACAAGACUCGAUGUCGGAGGUGAGAGUCAUGAGACGCUCAAGGAGCUGCUUGGGGGAUUCACCUUUCUCCAUACAAAAGUUCUACCAUUGACCCUUGGCAAUUUCAUAUUGAGCAAGCCGGAGAGUGGAGGUACCGGUCUUGGUCCUCACAAUGCUAUCCCACAAUUCCUUGGCACUUUGUGAUGUGUAUGUAUGGUCUCUUUGCUUGUCAGUCAUACCUCUCCUUAUGCACAUGGUUGUUGUGUCAUUGAUAUUCUUGUCAUAUAUUUCUCUUGGUGUAAGAUUCUUUGGGUCAGCAACUUUGUAGCCAUACUCCAAGAUAUCCAACAUCUCAUAAUUUCCAUAUCGAAGAUGAUCCUGCAUAGCAACUCUCCACAAAGCAAAAUCAGUAGUGUCAUCAAGUAAAGGAGGCUUUCCUUGAGGGUUAUACUUUGGUUUCUCUAUUUGAGGUCUUGCAUAAAGCCAAGGAACACUGGAGUGAUCAUUACUAGGAGGUUGAUGGCCAAGUGAAGGAGUAGGCAUAGUUGGCCUCGAGGCCGCACCACCCGGAAGUGGUGCAAGCAUCGUGGUUAAUGUGGCUAAUCUCAUUUGGACCAAGGCCUCAAGAGAAGCAUCAUGCCCCUCCUUUUGCUUAGCAAGGGACCGUUCGAUCCUCGGAAGUAAAGGACUUGACUUCCGUAGAAGCCUCUCCCUUAUCCUUUGGAUCUACAACAAGGGGAGUCCCAUCGGGGUUCAUCUCGCUCUAGGGCAGUUAAGCCACAAGAAUAGAGCACGAGGCUCUGAUACCAAUUGAAAUGAUCUAGAUGGACCUAGAGGGGGCGUGAAUAUGUACAAUUACAGAUUUUAAUUGUUGCUUAGCAAUUUUAGGCAAUAAUGCAAAAUAUGAAAGUGAGCCUAACAAUUGCAAGUAUGAUGCUAAGAGCUAAGAAAGGUAAACAAGUAACACUAGUAGGUGAGUAAGCAAGCACAAUAUGAUAUAAGUAAAGACUAAGAGACAAGUAAGCACACGUAGGAAGUUAGGGUUAGGGAUAACCGCAACUACGAGAGACGAGGAUGUAUGCCCAUGUUCACUUCCUUGGAGGGAAGCUACGACACCAUUAGAGAGGUGGAUGUUACCACGAAGGCACACCAACGCCACGAAGGCUCACCCUAUUCUCCCUUUGAGACAACACAAUGAAGGCGUUUCUCAACCACUAGUGGUAGACCUUGGGGUGGUUUCCAAACCCUCACAGACUUUUUGUGGGUAAUCAUAAUGAUCGAUUCCUCACCGAAAGACUCCUAUCACCUAGGAGUCUCCAACCUCCAAGAGUAACAAGAUCCAGGGGGAAAAGCUCAAGACUUGCUCAAAUCACUAUUUGCUUCGGUCACAAGAAGGAGAGGGAGAAGAUCUUUCUUUUGAUUGGAACAACUCUUUCAAGCACUCAAGAAUCAAACCGGGAUCUAGGAUAUCGUGGGUGAGCAAGAGAGAGGGAUCACUGGUGUUCUUGGGGCGUGUUGGAGUGAAGUGUUUAGCCUUAUCUCGAAGAGGUAAGGAACUAUUUAUAUCCACAACAGAUUAGAGCCGUUUGGAACAGAGGUGACUUGCCCGGAUGAUCCGGAGUACCAUCCGGAUGAUCUGGACAGCGUCCGAAUGAUCUGACUAUAGGCCAGGUGUAAGUGGUAGCAGCAGAGCUGCGAAGAGGCCGGACGGUCCGGAGGAUAGCCCGGAUGAUCUGGACAAAAACCCGGAUGAUCCGGAUGAACGUCCGGAUGAUCCGGCUUCAUCCACCAGGGUUCUGUGAUGAGAGGAGCUAUAUUAUCCGGACGAUCCGGGACAAGGUCCGGACGAUCCGGGGCAGGUCUAGAUGAUCUGGCUAUAAUUAGCGCCGAAAGAUGGCCCCUGGAUGCAUUAUCCGGAUGAUCCGGGACCAUCUCCGGACGACCCGGGUCUAGCCCGGAUGAUCCGGGGCCUUGUCCGGAUGAUCCGGCUAGGAGUCUGUAUUUGGAGAGAAUGGAGAGUAGGUUUUGGCUAACUAGUUUCGCUAGGAAUUUGGUCUUUGUGAAAACUUCUUGUGAAGUAGACUGUGAGCAAGCCUUGAACCUACACCUCGGAUCCCCUCUUAAUAGUGCGGAAUCCCUAUUACUCAAGAAAUGUAGAAAAGAGCAAGAUGCUUCGUUUUUGUUUGCUUCUUUUCUCGUUAGUUAUCUGCUUGAGUAAUAUCUCAUUUGAUGUGUCCAUGAUGCACAUUAAAAACCAAGGGAACUAAUGACCUAUGUAUAACUCAGCAAACAUAGUUAGUCCCCUAUAUGUAAUUUGUCAUCAACAUAAAAAAUACACUUAAGAGCAAGAUUGCACUUUCAAACAUGUAACAGCUUCCUUCAUUAUGGAUGACCUCUUGCACAGGUGGAUGCGGAGACUGGUGAGACGUAUGUUCAUGCGCCAUCCCGCAGCCUCCUACUAAUAACCCAGGUUAAUUAGUUGAUCUACAUGCAUGCUUUGUUUGCUAAUUCUCUUGAGUAUCAAGUGAUAUGAUUUUCCGUUGUCUCAUUCUGCUGGGCUUUUAGAGAUUAACUGAGAACAGUAUAUAUUCGCAGCAAUGCAAUAACUGUGCAGAUAUGUUUUUUUUUGCAAAUUCUCAGGAAUAUCUAGUAACUGAGAACAAUAUACAAGGCAACCAGGCCCGAGAUCGCCUCCCCCUACUGUACAAGGUCCAUGACGUCGCCUCCCUUUCGCGCAUCUUGAAGUACAGAACCCCUUCGAUCCCCACAGUUAGUACCCCCAAUUGAGAUGUUGCUUCUUCGAUUAUUAAUUAGAGAGGCAAGAGGAUAUGACUUGAUCUACCUUGCACUGUAGUUUCUGCUCACAAGUAAGGCUUCUUGCUCUUCUACCCCUCUGCUAUGAGGAUCUCUGGUUGGACUUAGGUAAUCAAGCCCAAGGAUAUGUGUUCCUAUUUUGAGAUGAAAUAUGCACGGCUAGCUUGAUUUAGUUUCUAGGAUUAGAUCUUUGUUGAUUUAUUUUUAAAUUUGUACCAUAGCUUUUAAUUUGUGUAAUUUGUACAAGAUGUGUUGCACACAGGAGUGAGAGGUGGAGCAUGGUCGUCGUGGCAAGCAGCGGGUUACCGGCGCCACGACAAUAUGGGAUGCGCACAGGAGGGAGUGGCGGGGCAAGGUGGUAAUGGCUUUCUCGAGCCACCGUCGACAAGGCAAUCAAAUGGAGCUACUAUUUAGUAUGCCUAAUAGCUAUGGCUUCGUAAAUUUACCGUCUCUACUGUCAUUGUGUCUGCCUUUUUCUUCUUUAUUAUGUUCAACUCUUUGUAAUUGCUCUCAUGUUCACGCUCUUAGUACUGAGCUUAAUGUCAAGUGGUUACCUUUUCUGGUCCGUAGAACUCAAUAAACUUGAUGUUGCCUUAAUCUCUUGACGAUGUUGAACUUGAUGAUGACUUGCUUCUAUUACAAGUGAAUGUUUUCUCUUUCUUUUAAUUUGUUGUCCUGUUUGAAUACGUAUGCAAAAUCAGGAUUCCUACUAACUUGAGCAUUACCCAAUUACCAUAUCAUUGGGACCGGCACCCUCGCGCCAAGGCGCGAUACUGAUCUAGUACAUAGGGUUCAUGGGGCAAUGAGGCACUCUGUAUGAAAUCACUUUGCAAAACUUAAGCUAGUGGUACGGGAAGUAGUACAUGUACCCGUCAGAUCAUUGCAACAAAGACCAUGUCACGGUCAACUAUUGCAACAUGGGACAUGUUGCGGCCAUCUCCGACUUGCAUGGCAUUGCAAACACGUGGAUACUUGAUCGCCCAUUACAACAUGCAUCAUAUUGCGCUCAACUCCAGUUUGCAGGAUAUUGCAAAAAUACAUGUGCCUUUAGUCACCCAUUGCAACAUGGACCAUGAUGUGCUCACCCAUUGCUACAAGGACCCAUAGCACCGGCAAUGCUCCCACAACAUGGCUGGCAACACCGGCUUGUAGCAUGCCUCAGAGCAAAGGCGACGCUCCCCAUAGCAAAUGACGACCUUCACAACAUCGAUUCGUGGUACGCUGACACUUCCGCAGCACAACGGCGCUACAUGUAACAUCAGCGUGCAACAUGGUGAUGACCCUCGCAGCAUGGGCAACACGCCUUCAGCAUGACGGUGCCCCAAGUAGCAACGGCUUGAAGCACGGAGACGACACUCACAACAUCGACUUGCAGACUCGCAGCAACAAUGGUACUCCUUUAGCAUGGAGGCGCCCCGUGCAGCAUCAGCUUGCAGCACGACGAUGACCAUCACAACAUCAAUGACGAUCCUAAGACUCGGCUUGCAGCACGACGACGCUCGUAGCACCGCCGCCUUGCAACACGCCUUACNNNNNNNNNNNNNNNNNNNNNNNNNNNNNNNNNNNNNNNNNNNNNNNNNNNNNNNNNNNNNNNNNNNNNNNNNNNNNNNNNNNNNNNNNNNNNNNNNNNNNNNNNNNNNNNNNNNNNNNNNNNNNNNNNNNNNNNNNNNNNNNNNNNNNNNNNNNNNNNNNNNNNNNNNNNNNNNNNNNNNNNNNNNNNNNNNNNNNNNNNNNNNNNNNNNNNNNNNNNNNNNNNNNNNNNNNNNNNNNNNNNNNNNNNNNNNNNNNNNNNNNNNNNNNNNNNNNNNNNNNNNNNNNNNGGCUAGGAGUACAAUGUCUUCCUUGUAACACCGGCUCGCACAUCAAUGGAUCAGAAGUACUUAUGCCUAUACAUGAUUUGGUUGAUAAUGACAUUAACAAUGGUGUAGUUUCUUUUGCAACAAUGGCGAGUAGUAGCUACUAGCUAGCUAUAUGACAAAUAAAAUUAGCUAUAUGAUUGCGCUGAAGUAUCAUGUGGAGAGCUGAAGAGUCAAAGCAACGAUGUACAGGUGCAAACACUGAGCGAAGGGACAAGGCAACUUGGGAAAGACAGUCGUCUCUGUGUGAACGCAACGCGUGCAAGGGAAAUCACGAUUCGUCAUCUGACGGCCCAGCAAGCGGAUGGCGGGCGACAUAAAAUCUUGUCUAAUUGUAGCUUUUCUUUUAUCUUCGUUAGUGCUUUUAGUUUUGCAAAGUUAUCACAAACUCAAAAAAAUAAUUAGCAAGUAGUUACUCCCUCCGUAAACUAAUAUAAGAGCGUUUAGAAUACUAAAAUAGUGAUCUAAAUGCUCUUAUAUUAGUUUACAGAGGGAGUACUUUUUAUUUGGAUUAAGAUGAGUACUGUUGGUGUAAACACUAAGUUGAAGGACUUCUCUGCCACCAGCAAUAAUAAUUUCCUGAGCACACCUAUCACUCCACAUCUCCACCUGCUAUAAGUGUUGAAUCUUAUGAUAUUAGCCCCGCUUUGCUCAACUUGGUUAUGAAAGAACAAUUUUUGAGAAAAUUUUAGUGAAGAUGCCGCUUCUCAUCUGCAUAAUUUUAUUGAAGUUUGUGACAUGCAAAAUUAUAAAGAUGGAGAACUAUAUUAUGCAAAAAUAUGCUGCCACCUCCACAACAUCUGUUAUUAUACAUGAUGAUGUUAAGAAUUAGCCAUUGUAGAUGCCUUCCUACACUCUGGUAGUAUUGGUUAGCGGUAAUCCCUAUUUUAUAUUUUGGAGAAUGGACAGAGCUUUAUUGAGAAAUGAAAGACACGUAUUACUCCACUCUAGAAUAAAAAGAGGCACUUUUUGAAUCAUCUUUCAUAGUGUUUGCGAAGUUCAAAAGUGAAUGGCCUUCCAAAUAGAAAAACUUGUACUGCUCUCUCUUUCAUCCAAAUGAAAAGACAAUGCUCCUAGUAAUUUCUUGGGAAAAAGAAAACAAUUCAUAUUUGCAAACAUUAAGAUCUAAGGAACUUGCAAGUUUAUAUUCCCGAGGAAUAGUGUGAAAACCAUGGAAUGACUGAAAGGAAAAAUACAGACACUAUGUUUUUUUAUUUGAAAAGGAGGAUAGACCCCGGCCUCUGCAUUUGGAUGAUGCAUGCGGCCAUUUUAUUAAUUUUUCACAGAGACCAUACAAAGUAUUCCUGCAAAAAAAAGAUCAUACAAAGUAAUACAUCAGUCAGCCUGAAGCCAUCAUCCAGGCAACACAUGUUGCUACUCCUAUCCCAUUGAUGAAGUUGUGCCUAAUACCAAACAGACAUCGCACCAAACCCUAACAUCUAAAGCCGGAUGCCCCAGCCCAGCCACACACCGGGACUGGGUCCCAUACCGGACCGACGCACUCUCAGAGGCUGCCACCACCAUCUUCCACCGGUCCAUCUCAAGAGCAGUAACUGACCCAUCGACCUUGCCUGGCCUGCCGUCGACGCCACCACGACGCCAGACAACUCCACCAUGCUGCACGUAUCCGUCCACACGCGACCGUCGUCGAACCUCCGUAGCGCCAUGCCACCGGGAUCCGCCAUCGGCCUUGGGGUGGAUGAGACACCUCUCUUCCGCUUGUCCCGUCCAACCAGUACUUGCUCCAAAACGAUGCCCUCAGGAGGGACAACGACAUCAAAGGUACCAUCAUCGUCCGAUCCGGUAGAUCCAGAUCUAGGGUUUCCCCCAGAGCAUCACGAGUGGGGUGCCACGACCUGCAACAACGAUGCCUCGAGAAGGGAACGACGUCAUAGACGCCGCCAUCGUCCGCCAUGACCAAAGUCAGCGCGAUUUUCACCGAAAGUCGCGUCCCACCAACCUCGCAGUUGGUUGGAACCGAACGGAGCCUCGCCAUGGAGACGAGGUCCGACGUCGGCACGCCGACAGGGAGCCUCCAGCCACCCACACCGGUCCUCCUUGCGCCACCGGCCGGCCAAGGCCCUACCGAGACGGCUCUGGAUAGGACGCCAGAUCUGCAGCCAUCGGAGCCACCCAUGCGCACGCAGCCGCCACCCUGCCGGCCAUGAAGGCUCCCAUGCCGCCGCGCAGAGACGCCGCCUCCGCCUCACAGGGUCCGCCGCGGCGACCACCCGCCUUGGAUCUGCGGUGCAGGGCCCGCCGCCACCGCGGCCCUUGCCGGUGGCAGCAGCGGCUGGGGUUGGAGCAGCGGCGAGGGACUGUCGGCUAGGGAUUUGGGGCCCCUGGCGCCGCCCAAGGGGAGGCGACGCGAGGGGAGGAGGAGGAGGGGAAGGUCGCGAGGAGGAGGGGGAGGUGACGCGAGAGGAGAAAGACCUGGCUGGACUUGGGCGGGGAGGCGAUGGACCAGUUACAUAAUAGCCCAAAUGCAACUAUAAGGAGUUGCAGUAAUAAAAAUCAUAACACGGACUCAUUAAAGUGUUCUACAUGUACCAGUCUGUCUAUAAUGCAAGAUGCUUAGAGAUGUUAUUAGAAAAUUAAACUUAUUUUUUAGAAGUGCCGGCGCCUAUUUGUAAAGCAGGGGUGUUUAUUUAGGCACUCUGCUAUGGAAAUAAGCACUGGUGUUUACAAAAUGAUUUAUUUUUGUAUAAGAACCUCUCCAAGCACUUCCUAUUGCAGGAUUGUAGAAAUAUAAAACCUUUUCGUUGAAAUCCGAAGCAACAGUUUACAUAAAGAGCAACCUCAUCAGACAAAAAAAAACAUUCAUACAUAUUCAGCAUGGCUUUCGCAAAAAAAAAAACAGCAUGGACCCACCAAAUAGAUCAGGCACUAAUCUUCCAGCCAUCUCACAAUCAUCGUGGCACAAGUCCACAACAGCACACAAUGAGCAGCCCAAACCAAGCUGGUGAUCAUACCAAAUCGAUAACACACCCUAAAAAAAACAAAUCGACAACAUAAUUACUCUAUAGUUCAAGCAGAUUACACAACCCUAAAAAACAGAUGGACAACACAAUUACUCUAUAGUUCAAGCAGCUCACACAACCACUCUCUCCGUCGCCGAUAUGCGAGGAAGUUGAUAGCCAUCACCUCAGCCUGCAAGCCCACCAAAGCUGCUUGUCGCAACCUCUUUGCUCUAGCUGUCGGCACCAGUACAAACCACAGAAAAUUCUUUUGCAACAUACCACUCCGAAAAUUGGUAGCAAGUCACAGACUACUCCGGGAACACUUUGGCAUGAACACCCAUCCGAAACAAGUAGGGUCAAUAGUUCAACAUUUAUGCCGUAACAUUUAGAAAAAAAAUGAAUCAUACCCAAAAAGUGCUCUCCGAACCUCAGGUUGGACACAAAUAAGUAAGGGCAGCUACAGAAACUAUUGCGGAACAACGGGCGAGUAACCAGCUCAAGCUCAAUCACCACCCGAGACAAACCAAGUUCAGCAGCCGGUGCCCGCAGCUUGCUCAGUAGAAAAUAAAUAGGACCCAGACCUCUCACCCUUCAUACAUAUCCACACCUGAUGACCCAAGGUACUACAACAGACCACAGAAGGAAGUAGAAUGACCAGCACAUGAGCUUCAGCAAGGUACUGAUAUAUACCUGGCUAUAUCAUAUUACAGAGGGGAACAGAGCACAACGUGAGAGUAGCAGAAACUAGAAAGGACCACAAGGGCCGGCGGCUGUAGUUAUUUGUUCACACCAGAAUAUGCAUAACAUUCUGUUCUUAGCAGUUAAAUAUUUGAUAUAAGAUUCUCGAGAUAGGAGUAAUCAUACACUAGGACAAACAAGUAUAGAGUCAUUUUCUUGUCAAUUCAUCAGACUCGGAAGAACGGUAAAUUAUGACUAAGAGCUUGAACUAAGAAGAACGGGAGAAUAUGUUGUAAAUCAUCACAAGGGCAGUAUAUUUAUUUCAUACAGUAUAAAUAUGAAUAAUGAUGAUUUCAAUGAAAGAUCGUGUUAGGCAGAGGGUACAGAUGGAAUGAGAAUGAAUUGACAAAACAUUCCUACAAAAUGAAUUACUAACCAGAUUCAAUCACUAAACAGUGAAGAGUUGGCCUAAGGAUGAUCCUGGCAGCUAUUUUUCAAUAGAAGGAAUCAUCAUGCUAGUGUAUUCUUCUGACCAUAGUAACUGAUAAGAGUAAUUUCUGACAUUUAUACUGAAGUCUAGACCAGUAGCUAGUUAGUUAUAGGGUAUCAAAUGAAUAACACGAAAAAUUUGUAAUUGACAAUAUGGUAUAAGUGGGCAUCAGAUAUCAAAUUAUGAUGCCAAAUACUAAACAGACCAAACUUCUAUCUAUGAAACUCUAUGAACUGAUAGCUGUCAAACUUCAGAGCAAAUGACGUAUUGGAAAUCUGAAACAUCCCAUCAGUGAUAACCGAAAGCAGCAUGGACCUGAAGCACAUAACUAAAAAUAGUUUUUUUAAACAACAUAACUAAAAAUAGUUGGCACACCACCAAAAAAACAUAGUUGAGCAGAAUACACAAAACAAUAUCGAUCAGCACAAAAGGAAUAAUGCUCAUGUCGUCACAAAUUGUGGUGUAAGCAACAAAUACCAAAUUAUGAUACCAAAUGCAAGGCAGAUCGAAAAAUUAUAAUGGCAACUUUAGAACAAAGGAGCUAUCGAAAGUUUGGAACAUCCGAUCGGUGAUAACUGAAAGCAUCGCAGACAUUAACACAGAAGUAAAAAUAGUUAAAGUCCACUAAAAAUGCAUAAUUGGACAGAAUAUUUCACUGAACAGUUUAGAUCGGCACAAAAGGCUCUAUGCUCAUGGCACCUAGUUGAAGCCACAAUCUUUUCCCCGCUCUGAAGUUAAUCCUCAACACCACCAAUAUCUAAUUCUUCCAGCAGAGAAUCAGCAACUUCAAAUAGAGUGUGUCAUAAUAUGCACUACAAUUUUGGAACAUCCGGUUCCGUUGGUAAGCAUCACAUGCACACAUAUCAAAACUGUAGCAGACCGCCACACAACAUGUUGACAACCAUUCCCCUGCUCUGAAGCUUAAGCUAAUACGCGACAUAAGCAAUCAACACUAGGAGAGUAAGAACAAAAUGCUGCAAAAACUAAACCAAACACACUAGGGACCGAGUUUCGUAUGCAAGUUUGCAGGGCUCGCCACGGCAUCACCUCGAUCGAUCGCUAGUAGUUUCCGGUGAACAGCUCCAAUCCGAUCUGCGAGGAGACGUAGGCGUCGGUGCAGGCGUAGUGGAUCUGCUCGUCGGAGAGGCAGCAGGCGUCCCACGGGCCCAUCGUUAUCCGCCGUGGUUUCUGCAUGGUAACCCCCAAGACUUGGGGCGCCAGGUCUUUCAGCCCGGCCUGGCGGAGCUCCGGGAUGCCCAUCUCCUCGGCCGCGACGCCGCGCAGGUCCUCCAGAUUGCGCACCUGCAGGUCGUAGUCCUGG